rnacentral:lncRNA from 1 species
UCCUCUAUAAAACCAUCGCCCCUGCGCACCGUCCUCCCCCACCUCCCGAUCAAGCCAUCCAGCCGCCUCUCCUCGCCCUCCUGCCUGCGCGCAUCUCUCUAGAGCUUAAACUCUCCUAGAGAGAUCUCAGGCAGCCCCAAUAACCAACCGCUCGACCCAACUCGUCGUCGUCGUCGUCGCAGAUGGCCGGCCUCAGGAUGAAGCUCGUCGCCGCCGCCGCCGUGGCCGCCGCGCUCGUGGCGUCCGCCGCCGCCCAGGCCCCCGCGCCAGCGCCCACCUCCGACGCCUCGGCCGCGGUGCCCCUCGCGGCGGCGUCCUUCGCCGCCGCCGCCUUCGGCUACCUCUUCUGCUAGAUCCGUCGUCCGGGGAUGCCGUCGUGCUCCCUGGCCGGUCGGGCCUGCUGAUGAUGAUAUGAUUCGUUUUGGCGUGAGUCGAGUCCCCUGUUCGUGGCGCGUGUUGAGGGAUGUCGGUGGGCGUGUGUAUGUACGAGUCGGCGGCGGGUGGAGGUGUGCGCGCGUGUUGGAUACGUGCGUCGACGCGCCACUCUUUGUGGUGGAGAUCAUGUACCCGCUGCGCUUCUGUUUAUCAAUGAGAUGAUUUAUUUGAUUCUUUUCAUCUUAUAUACAAUAUACAUGAGAAUUGCGUAUUCAGUUUGUUGUGUUUUGCUCUGCAAACUUGCGAUGUGCAGAUUGUUGUAAAACACUGUCGAACGAUUCUCCCUCAAUCGAGUUCUUCCGUUGCAAAGAAAAAGAAAACGGUGCAUCUCUCUUAAAAAACGAUUACUAUUCUUACGACCUGAAAAUUAAGGGGUGCAGGCUACAGUUCAAACAUGUAAUUGGAAUCUGAAAUCGAUUUGACCGACUAAGGAACUCACCAUCUGAACUCUAAGCCCUUGUUUACUUCACCCCCAACUCCCAACUUUGGCACUAUGCAAAAAGAAGAUUCCCCAUCACAUCAAACUUGCGGUACAUGCAUGGAGUACUAAAUGUAGAUGAAAUUAAAAACUAAUUGCACAGUUGUUGUACUUUGCGAGAUGAAUCUUUUGAGCCUAAUUAGUCAAUGUUUGGACAAUAAUUCACAAAUACAAACGAAACGCUACAGUGUGCUACAGUGCUAGCACAGUAAUUUUACAUCUCCUAAUUUGACCAGCUAAACAAGGCCUAAGCAAAACGACCGGCAUAACGACUUUCAUUUAUGACCAACCAAUUCAGAAUUGACAAGCUUUAUUUUUCCUACCUCCCUCGAAAAGAAUGCUGUGGCACGGAGUCCUUGUGAAGUUCGUUAGGAGAUGCCGGGCCGGGGUUGCUUAAUCAGUUUGGUGAGGGAUCCGAACGUUGAAAUGAUUGAAGCAUGUUGGCGUCGCCACUUGCCAGCCAAGAAGCCAUGUGCUGCUCGUUAAGCACUGGUCCACAGAUGAGUUGUCUUGGUAGGGGCAGCCGUACCCGCUGUAUCACCGCUGGCAUGCUCCAAGCUGGAAAUGGUGAGCCGUCGCAAUCGCUGCAGUAUUACCCGACUAGUAUGUGCUUUAUGGAAUUGCAGGACUGCUUAAUUUUGACCGUGCUCGUGGAUUUAGAUGCUGGUCGAUGGCUCCAGCUCGAUGCCUUUUCCUACUGUACUGGCUACUGCCGACCGAGAGUCUCAGAGCGUGCAGAAUGCAGGUCGAGUUCCGCAAAGUUGUUGGCGUACACAGCUGGGGAUUGGGCCAGUGCCAGCUCUACACACCACUGGGCCACCUUUGUGUUUUCUCCGGCCUGCUUGAAAAUGUAUUGGGCCAGUUUGUUGGGCCGCUUACUUACAUCUGUGCUCAGCUAAAUCCAGCGAGAACAAUGGAAGAGUUUUUGGCUCUAUACAACAAAUCUUUUGGUUUUUUCCCCCCCUUUCUUUUUCAUCCACAUAAGACACCCACGAUGGCGUUUAUAUUUGUAAGAUAACUGAGUUGCAUUUUUAAGUGCCUCAUUUCUGGAUUAUCGGGCAGCUUCUGAAAGGAAGCUCCAAUUAUAGUAGACGAAGUAGAAGGUUUUUUUUUCGAUUCAAGACCUGGAACGUAGGUAGCUAGAGUCUACGCACUGCAGUUACAUACUGACAAAUUGCAAUGGCGAGUCGGCGACCGACAAGCAGAGGCCAGGCACAGCUGCGUCACAUGAACUCGCUCAUCAUGGCGAGCACCUGCGCCAUCGUGGGCCUCUCCUCCGGCGCCUCGGCGGUGCACAGCACGCCGAUCUUCACCAUCCCCAUCGUCUCCUCCCCUUCGCCGCCUUCCUCGCCGUCGGCGGCCUUGUGGUCCGUCACCACCUCCAGGAGCACCAUCCCGAAGCUGUACACGUCGGACUCCUGCGUCGCCCUCGCGCCCGCGCCCGACGCCAGCUCCGGCGCCGCGUACCCGUGCCACCCGACGCUCGCCGCUGGCGGGGCCGCCGACGACGUCGCGGUCGCCGCCCGGCCCAGGAACAGGUCCGGCGGGCACCGGGCGGCCUGCGGGACGACGGACUGCUGGAUGUUUGUGGCGUAGCGCAUGAGCCCGCACUCGGACACGCACGCGCCGCCGCGCUCGUCCAGGAGGAUGUUGGACGGCUUCACGUUCGCGUGCACAAGCGCCGGCCGCGCCGGGAACGUGUGGAUGUAGUUCAGGCCCUGCGCCGCGCCGAACAGUAUGCUCUUCCUCCCCGCCCAGUCCAGGCUCCUCGCGCCACCACCUGCAGCAACAACAACGGCCCGUCAGGAACACUCGCUUUCUUGCACCGACUGCAAAUUGGCAAUGCAUUUGGGAUUUCAUUAUCUCAUUUCAGCGCGACGACGCACCACUGGCUUGCAGAAGGGACUGGAGGCUCCCGUUGGGGAGGAAGUCGUAGACGAGGAGGCGCUCGCCGUUGGAGUUGCAGUACCCCCUGAGGCUGACGACGUGCCGGUGGCGGAGCCGGCCGACGAGCCGCAUGUGGCGGUCGAACGCCUUGCUCCGGCUGGCGGGGAACUGCAGCGCGCUCAGGCGCUUGACGGCCACCACGAUGCCGUCGUCGAGCACCGCCUUGUAGGUGCUCCCGGACACGCCCUUGCCGAGCACCUCGGCGGACGCCUUGAGGAGGCUCUCCAGCCGCAGCUCCUCGCCGCCCUCGAAGCAGACCAACCCGCCGCUCUUCUGGCACUUGUCGUCCCCGUUCGCCCUCUUCUCUUGCUCCUCGAAGGAGAGUGCCGCGUCGGAGGCGUCCUUCGCCGACCGGAGCUUCCUCCUCAUGUAGACGAACAUGGCCACGGAGAUGGCUAGCGAGACCGUGAUGAGCACUGCGUUGCCAAUGCCGGUGGCCAUGAGUGCAGUCAAGCUAAGCUUACUGAAACCUCCAUUGCUGGAACUGGAAGGCACACUACCACUAACGUUCACUGCAGCACCAGGAGAUUGAGCAGCGAUACUGGUGGUAGCAUUGGAAGAACUAUCCGAUCCUAACGCAUUAUAAGCACGAACACAUCUUGGCAGAGGCGUGCCACAGAGAGCGAGAUUGCCGCCGAAAGUCGACCUCGGGAACCUGGACAGAUCGCCGGAGAUCUCCCCAGCGAGCUUGUUCCCGGACACGUUCAAGCUCCUGAGCGACGGGGCGCGCAGCGCCUCCAGGCCUCCACGGAAGCCAUUGUGCUCCGCUCUAAGCGUGAGCAGAGCACCCAGCGAGAUGUUCAGGCUCCCGGUGAGCCGGUUGCGGGCGACGAGCAGGUGCCGCAGCCACGGGCUCGCCGUGGCGUCGUCCAGCGGGGGGAGGGCGCCGGACAGGGAGUUGUUCCUGACGGCGAGCGCCCUGAUAUGGCUGAGCCGCAGGAGCGGCGCCACCUCGCCGGCCAGCGAGGCGCCGUCGAGGAAGACCCCCACCACCCUGCCCCUGGAGCACCUGAUCCCGAACCACGUGCCGGAGCACGGGUUGGGGCCGUGCCAGGUCGCCAGGGCCGUGGCGUUCGGGUUGUAGGACUUGAAGGAGAGCAGCGCGGGCAGGUCCUGGUGGCCGCCAUUGCCGACCUCUCCGUGCACAGAAGGUACCGAUAGGUGGUAGACGAGGACGGCGAGGAGCAGGAAGGUGGAAUGGUGGAAACGAGGCAUUUUGGUAGCUGUAAGAAUUUUCUUCUGUGUUUGACCGAGAAAUCUAUCCACUCGUUUUAUAGCACGGGCCGGUAACAAUUCAGCGCGGGGAAGUAGAAAAUUUUGAAUGGCGCACGAGCACAAAGGCGUGGAACGACGACGAGCAGAGGGGUCCAAAGAGGAAAGCUGGGUACCUGCGCCGACGUCGUGGGUGGGUGUCGAUGCUGAGGUCGUGGGGAGGAGGGUGGAGGUGAAAAGCGGCGCCAUGGAGGACAGGAGGAGAGGUCCAAGGGGAUGGGGAGCUGACGAGGUGCCCUUUUUCCUCCCUUGGGCAGAAGGAACUUGGACGUAUCUGGUGGGCUGCACGUAGCCGUGAUGGUCGUCGCGCCGGGGAGAUGCUGGUGCUCGCUUCGCUUUACGGAAGCGGCCGAAAGGAAGCAAGAGGGCUCGGGGUUCCACGGCGCGUGGUGGAGUAUCGGGUUCACGAGACGAGACGGGAGUAGCGAGUGGGGACGUUGGCGUCAGGUGGCGCCACGCACCGGUAGGGGAGCAGACAGGAAUGGAUUCCAGCUUCACGUUGCACUAGUCCCCCAGAGUCACAGUGAACCCGGAACACUGAACUGGGUUCAGGUGUCGGGGCAUCUAUUGUUGGGUCCGUUCGUGCUGUGGGCCGAGCCAGGUCUUGCCACCCGAUCCAGCCCAGUAACCGGAGUAGCCAAGAUUUUGUUGGGGCGUCGGGUUCAAACUUCAAAUUGGCAGGUGGAGACGCUUCCAAACGGGUUCAUAGUGAGUCAUUGCUACUGGUACUACGGAGGACUAGGAAGGUUAAUUAUCAUUAUGAACAGUGUUAGUUAGCACCGUCGUCUGAAUGAAAGGUCAUGACAUGCUCGUGAAACCUCGAUUCUAAUGUAUGCGCGCAGUUUUUGGUAUAUCAACUCAGAACUCGACUGGUGGUGUGGUGAGCACAAAAAUGCAUCUUGUUUUUUUUUCCCACUAAGGGCUACGUCCAAAUUUCAUUACUGUUUAGGCAAUGAAAUUACAGAGUAUGAGAGUUGUCGACACCAUGGUCACACCAGAGAUUACAAAAGCAUCUCCAGGAGGACAGGUGCAGACGGCCUUUCCACCUGGGAGGAAUAAAGCGAGCCUACUUAUUACAUGACACAGAACUAACAGCAUGCUAAACAUCUCACAGCCAACCAAACUAGGAACAUUUCUCAACCAGCCUCCAAAGUUGCUUUGAGCAUCACACUGUAUCCAGACUUCCUGGCUUGAUUUGGGACAGCACUUCUUCUCUUUUUUACUGCAGCAGUACCAUCCCUGUGUCGUCGGUUGUUGCUUCACGGGGGUGAAAGUGCAACGCCGUCGCCUUCAUUGCAUCAGCGCCAGCCUCCAGGAUCGUCCUCCCCUCCGGCUUAUGAAGACCUGCUCAAUAUGAAAUGAAAACAGAUGCUGAACAUAUAAUCUCUGAAGGAGAUUUGACCUAUUUUUUAUCAAAGCAAGCAGCAUUUCUAGCUUUCCAGAGUGCCCAGCAGACCGCUGACAGCCCCACCACAUGGAUGUUUUUGUUUUGUGACAUAUACUAUCUAGUCCAUUCCCAAAAUUGGGCAAAGGUAGUUGGUCUACAUGGAGCACCAAUUACCAUGGCAAUAAGGCUCCAUACAUACCUAGCCAAGGCAUAUCCAAAGAAAAGGUGUUUCGAUGUUUUCUUCCAUAUGACAGAAACAACAGCUUUUGUCCCCCUGCCAGUUGCGUUUUAUAAGGUUGUCUUUAGUCAGAAUAGCAUCUUUUUGGAUUAACCACAUAAAGAUUUUUAUCUUCAAAGGGAUUUUGGCUUUCCAAAUAUUGUCAUGAGGACUGGGUAUAGACUACCGCCUCAUCAUCGACACAUCGAACAACGAUGGCAAGGAUGCCAAGUACGAGGCGGUGGUUCAUGAGAAAAACUGGGGAGACCAAAUCACUCUCUUGUCCUUUAAGCGAGCAGACUCUCAGCAACAAUUGGCAUGAGCAUGUUAAUCACUCUCUUGUCCUUUAAGGAUGCCAAUGAUUUGUAGUAGGGUUGCCACCUUGAUUAAUGCUUAUCACUACUUGCUCUACAACUAUUGCAUUUUGUGUUUACUCCAUUUAGCGUCCUUUCGUUACGCCUUGCUUAAUGCUUAUCACUACUUGCUCUACAACUGCUGCAUUUUGUGUUUACUCCAUUUAGCGUCCUUUUGUUAAUCGUUGAAAUGGCGUGGUAGCUGCUGCGUAAUGCGUAUCAUGUAAUUUGGCAUCUCCAAUAUAAAUGGGAUUUUCAGCCUAAAUAAAAUGUGAUUGGGAAAUUUGGCUUCCCACUUUUGUACAUGAUGCAAACGGUCAUAUACAUGCACACACAAUUACAAAUACACGCACGCUAGUUCGAUCUUCAAGUUUAAUAUAGUUUCAGCUGUUCAAACAUUGGAUUGAACAUGACCGAUCCAUUUGAAAGUAGAUUGCUUUCAAACACAAAACGUGGAUUGCGUUAAAUAUUUUUAUUAGACAUAUUAGGAAUGUAAAAGUCAAAUUUAUAAUAAUUUAACCAAACAUUAGUCAAAUUCUAUAAAUCCUCAGUAUAAAAGUUAUAUGGAUGAAUUCAAAUAUGAAAUAUCUUACUUCUAUACAUCUAAUAGUAUAUUGUAAUAGAAACUAUAUCAGUCAAUAUAUAUCUAUAAAUAUUUUCAAAUCAUCAUGUGCCUACUAAAAACAAACAAAGUUAAUGUUAUGGUUGUGAUUUUAUUGCUACAAAUAUUACUAGUAUUAUAAGAGCAUCUGCAGCAGUCUCCCAAUAAAUAUUUCCCAAUAACUAGUUAAUAGGGAUAUUCCAAUAUCACUUUCAUCGUUAUUGGGAGAGUUGCUUUUGCAGUCUCCCAAUAAUUUCAUCCCAAUCCAACUACCGUAUUGAGAGAGUUACAACUCCUUUAUUUAGGGAGAGUUGGGAUGAAUUAUUGGGUUGUCCCAAUAAUUAUUGGGAAAAGGGAAAGUUAAAGGAAGACUGUUGGAACACUAUUUUCUUAUCAACUCUCUCAAUAUGAUAGUUGGAUUGAGGAAAGGGAGAUUGCUAAAGAUGCUCUAAUAAGCUAUGUAUUCAAAACAAAGUGGUCAUGCGGGUAUUAGAGUUGUGAUCCGAAAUAACGGCAGGAAAAUUCUGUUAUCUGCAUGGCGAGUCAUUUUUUAUGCAGUGAGCGUACAGGAAGUGGAGGCAUUGGCAUGCAAAGAAGGGUGGCCCUUGAAGGGAGCCCGCGAUCUUAGAGUUAGACUGCAGUGCGGUCAUUCACUAAAUCAAGGAAGCGAGUAAGAUGAUACUAGCUAGCAUAAUUUUUCACGGUCUAGAAGGCUAAGCGCCUAGCGGAAAGUCUCCCAUGUCUCGUUUUGAGUCAUGUAAAGAGAUAGCAGAACGUAGUCGCACAUGAGCUUGCGAAGCAAAUCGCAAUGUAGUGUGGUGUGAUCAUCCCCCACUUAUAUGAGCAUUUGAUUGCUCAUGCCUGUAAAUUUUUUUUUGAGCAAUCAAUAAAGCGCUCUCUCUUUUUUAAAAAAAAAUUUGCAAAGAAAGAGACUACGAAUCAAAGUUGGAGAAUGUGACGAGUCAAAGCAUAUUGUGAAAUGGAGGCAGCAAAAUCCUAACGCUUCCUGUCGCAUCGACGUUCGAGCUCUGUGUACUUAAUUGAUUGCCACGUAGAAGCCGAAGAGUGCAGCGUCGAUUCAACUGGCGCGCGUCUAGACCCUAUAAAAGGACGGGGUUUCCAAGGCAGCACUGCACCGAUGCUUGCUCUGCACCAGCAAAGGCAGUCAAACUAACAGUACGCCGGGCACCGGAAGAUCGAUCGACCAGGCAUGUCGCCGCCGCCGGAGCAGGACAGGAGGCUUGGCGUCGUCAAGCCGGAGCCCGAUCCCAUGAUCAAGCUCAAGGUGCUGGACAACGAGGGUCGCAGGGUCUUCCACUCCAUGAGGAUGUCCGACAAGCUCCAGGCGGUCAUGGAUGCGUACUACGCGAAGGCGCCCGACGUGACCUACGGCUCCGGGACCUUCAUGUUCGAUGGAUCCAUCCGGCUGCGGGGCAGCGAGACGCCGGCGGAGCACGGUCUGCAAGAUGACGACGUGAUCGACUCCUACGAGGACCUGGUGGGCGGCGGACGGGACGACGCCUGAUGCACCGGACCGGCGGCUGAUCGAUCGAUGGCCGCGCGAGUACGUCGUAGCAGUCGUUUAAUGGAUGUCGUUAUAUUAUCAUUCGCCAGUCAUCACUAGUCUCCAAUUAUUACAAAGACGUAUCAUCUACUAGGAUUCAUCUUUCUACUAUACAUGCAAGGUGGAUCCAAUAUGUUCUCUUGAAACUUUGUUAUUGAUGCAUCUUCACAGUUUACCUGCUGAAUUCAACUGUCAAAACUUUUCUAAGGCCCCGUUUGGAUCAUUGGAAUUGAAUUCCAUCCUAAUAAUCAUAAUUUAGACACAAAUUAAUUAAACUAAUAUAAUUGUAUGUGGAAUAUAGUUGUAUAUUAUAGUUGGUGAUAUGGGAGAGAUACUUGUAUGCUGCACUUCUACUAUAGAGAAGCGAGUCUAAGAGCGUGCUAUAAGAAUUGAAUUCCAUUCUAAUAACCAUAAUCUAUAGAAUCAAUUUCCAUCUCCCACCCCAUGAAUUUAAAAUAGGCUUAUAUCUAAACUUUGGAAAGUUGUGGAAUGCCACAUUCCAACAUAAAUUAGCCUACUCCAUUAAAUAGAUUCCAAUUCCUUGGACCCAAACGGGGCCUAAGCGAAAUGAAGCGUUCGUGGUAUAGCACUUGGAUCAUCCACGGCCCGAUGAUCGAUUGCCCAGGCGGCUGAGAUCUCUUUAGUCGUCUAGAGCUCACGGGGGAAUUCCGAAGAUGCGUUCGGGGCAUUCGAUAGCUUAGCCGCGUCCUGGUACGUCAUGAUUCAUGAACAGUUUGAUCUGGUAAAUUAUGAUUUCAUUGAAGACAUUGCCGUUCCAUUUUCUAUUGAUGAAUUUUUUUAUUAAUCUUCUCGUAAAAAGUUUUUGACGAGGCACUUUAUGCGAUCCAUUGCUUACGAUAUACAUCAAGUUCAACAAAGUGGUUUGGCCUUUUUUUUAGAUAUGCAAAAUAUAAAUCUAUUGAUGCAACUUUGAGACAUGAAAACAUAUAAUUUGACUACUCUUGGAGUAAAACCUACAAAUUAAAGUAUUGACUAUUUGAUACACCCUACGUAAAGAAACAGAGUAAGCAAUGCACGUCAAGCAGACAAAUGAUACGAUCAAGUUCAACAAAUUAAAGUGGUUAGUGGUGAGAAGCAGAUUUUGGUAGGCAUAUACUUCCGUCUCAUCAUCGAUGCGUCGAACAACAAUGGCACGGAUGGCAAGUAUGAGGCGGUGGUGCACGAGAUGGAUUGGGGAGAAAAACUCUCCCUUGAGUCCUUUUAAGUCGGCUAAUUGAUCUACAAUUAGAAUGACCGUCUUAAUGCAAUUAUCCUAAAUAAUGAUGUCAAGGUGUAUUUUCAUGCCUUUGGAUUUUUUUAUGGUUAUAUACAAUUGUCUCAGGAAGCUUGUGCCUCAAGCAUGUCUCUCUCCUAGGAGUAGAUCACUGCCUCACUGGAGACCACAAGAUCAUAGAGCUUCCGACUAAAGUGAGCAGUUUCUUCGAGCUUCUGAGUUCACCAGAAAGAGCGAGGUUGCUACUAAAGGGAGCAGUUUCUUCGAGCUUCUGACUAAAUCGAUCCAAAAUUAUGUCAAACAAUUUCCACUAAAUUACAAGAUAACUAUAUAUUGCAGGAGCUGAUGUGAUAUGAAUCCACUAAAUCACUUCCAAGUUGUAUUUGAACAAACUGUCCAUCGGUUUCCAUCCAUUUCGCCGGAAUACAAGCUCUUAUUAGUAAGGGCUGCAUGCAAGGACUGUCUUAAUUUUUUGCUGUAAGGUAAAACUAGUUGUCAAUUAAUUUCAGGCCAAUCAUUUUCUACUAAAAAUUGCAAGAUACUACUUAAUUUGACACAUCCAAUUAAUAUUUUCCAAAUUGUAUCGAACACCCUGUCCAUCAGCCAUUUGUUGGCAACGUCACGAGGCUAAGUGCUAUUAAAUGCCUCAGUCGUGUCUCCAAUCUUCAGCAAAAACUAUGAACCUGCCAAUCUUGUUAGUACUUCAAUAGACUUCCUCGAUUCUAAAUUAUAGUUCACUUUAGCGUUGUUCUAAACCAAACUAUUCUCUCUGACUAAAUGUAUAGAAAAAUAGAACAAUAUCUACUAUCAGCAUAUUUCUUAGCAGAUUCAAUGAAACUAUAAUUUGACGUUAUAGAUCUUAAUGCCUUUUUUAUGAACUUGAUCAAAGUUAAAGAGAUUUGACUCAGAACAAUACUCGUAUAUACUACUUACAUUUUAAAAGAAGUAUAAAAUAAAGUAGUUAUUGUAAUGAAUGUAAAAUAAGCUUAGAAGAAACCUCAAUGACCAAAUUGGGACUGCAGAAAGUACUUUCUCCACCCUAUUACUGGCUCCGCACGCACAAGAGAAACAAAAGCACGAGCUUGUGGCCAUUAUUCAAACAAUAAAAUUAGCACUAGUCACUUGGAGAGAAACCGGCAAAACAUCCAGAAAUAUACCACACAUAGGGGUGGUAAUGGAUCAUGCCUCCUUCACAAUCCAACUCAACCCUAUUUAUUUUUAGUUCAAAAUCAUAUAUUAUUAUAGCCCGAUACAUAUUGAGCAUGAUCCUUAAAUUUGCUAAGUUAAAUUAGAGGGCCCUUUACCACACCUAACCACGCCACAAGAACAAAAUUCAACAAGCUGUUGGUAACUCGGUACUCUACCGGUUGGAUACAAAACAAUAUUAAAAACUGCUGCUACUAAUAUUCUCUUAAUGAAAUACAUGCACGUUUAUAAAAAAAAUGACUCACAUGACCCUCCUAAACCUAGAGAACAGACUCGAUUGAAACUAAUCGGGAACCUAAUAAUAGUGAGCACAGUCACUGGCAUGUAAAUAAACUAAGUAGAGCUGUAUAUCUAGAUAUUGAGGUAGUUCUUGAUGGACUCCUCGAACUCCUUGACGACGGCUUUCCAUCCGGCAUGGGUCGGGUUGAUGUCGUCCCAGUAGAAGAACUUGUCCGGCUUGGACCCCAGGCUGUACUGCGGCUCACCGUCCUGCACCUGCCCGCAGAACCCGCUCCGGUCGAAGCUCUCGCAGCACGACUCCAGCCUGUACUUGAACUGCUUCGAUCGCGGCGACGGGCCCGCGUAGUGGCUGAAUGCGGCUUUCAGGUCGAGGUUGAAGACGGCCUCGUCCUGGAACACCUUCUCCUCGAGGUACGAGUUGUGGAUGCUCGCCACCUUCUGGCUGUCGCACUUGGCAUCGUAGACGCCGUCCUCGGACCUCGACAGCCACGGCGUGCACCCGAGCGGGGGCAGCGAGGUCACCACCACCUUCUCGACGCCCAGGUCCAUCAGCUGGUCCACGGCGUCGGCGAUCUUGUCCGUCACCUCCUGGGCCUUGGCCUUCACCUCCGUGCUGGUCAUGUCGUUGAAGCGCUCGUAGUCGCGCCUGCCGGAGAAGGCGAUGAGCGCGACGGAGUCCGUGAGGUCCUCGUCGAUGAUGCCGAGCCUGACCAGCCUCUUGAACUUGUCCACCUGCCUGCCGAGCCUGGGCGCGUCGCUCGUCCCCUCCACCACGCCGGCGCCGCCGACGGCGAAGUUCAUGCCGGACGGAUCGACGCCGUCCUGCUUCCUCUUACUCUCCGCCGGAGGGGACUCCUUCCGCCCCAGAAUCCUCGCUGCACAAAUUAUGUAUUGAUGAGACAGGGCCAGGAUUUAGAAUAUUAAGUACUGAUCCGAGCUUAUUAUUACGUACCGAAGAAAUCAGAGAGGACCAAGCCGUUGGAGAAGCGGCCGCUUGGAGUGGCGCCGUGCUCCUUGUCGUUGCUGCCGUACGGGUAGUACCAUGCGCGCGUCGUCUUGGUCAGGUCUGCUAGCGGGAAGUUGCCGGCGUCGGCGAACUCGUCGCCGAACACGAACAGCUUAUACCGCCGGCCCGAGUCGCUGUCGCGAUGGCGUCGGGACUCCACAUGAGCAGCUGCUAACAACAACGUUAAUUAAAGCUCCGAUCCGAGAGCAGAACAAUGCACGACAGCAAGUAAACCACCUGGAGAAAUUAGCAAGAACAAGCAGAACAACACAUACCGUUCAGCAGGAGUAGGAGGCCGCAGACGGCGGCGAAAAGAAGCUUCAUGCUGGCUGGUUCCUUGGAUUUCGAUCGAAGGCGAGUUGCGCGGGGCGCGGGUGUUGAGGUGAGUCAAUUGCUGAGUCGUGGUGCCAGGACGACGGCGAGCGUCGCAAUUUAUACACGGGAGAUCGAGUUCCGAGUCCUACUGGGGGUGGGGGAGGCGCGCUUGUUUGCCCAGUCCGCCGCCGACUGUAACUCGUUUCCAAGCCUAGCUGGUACACUGACGAACAACAAGUCAGAAAGCCGACGAUUCCUGCUCGGAGUUGGCGGGUUGGCGGGCCUUUUCUCUCUAGGAUCUCACCAGGCCUCAAAAUACCCGGGCCAGUACAGCAGAAGAGGCCCAUCGCUACCACCCCAAUACAUGCAUACGACCAGCGUUCACUAAUGGGCCCCAUCCCUGUCUGCACGGACGACGAUAGAAGUUGGCCCGAAAUCAACACGGCUGGGCCUGGGCUGUGCAUCACAGAACCCUUUUUUUCUUUGGCGACGAACAAAACCCCUCGCCACUACUACUUAGCCACGCAUGAUGAUGAUGAAUUUACGUUUGAUGAUUGCUUGUUGAUCAAUCAGUCGAUCGAUCGAUCUGCGGAGUACUCUGACGGAAGGAAAGCUAACCCUCUCCGCCGGCGCCGGCGCCACCGCAAUGUGGUUCACCUCCCGUCGCAAACCCAACGCCGCCGAACCUUCCGAGGAUGCACCGUCGUCCUCCUCGCCACGCAGCUCGCAACCCCGCGGCUACUCCCUCCGCAUCUCAUCCUCCAACCCCUGCCCCCAAACCCAGAGCUCCCGCGACGGAGCCCUAGCCUCCGCCACCUCCUCCUCCGCCGCCGCCUGCGACCUCGGCGGCGGAUGGGGGAACUCCGUAGGCCGCGGCGGCGGCGGCUUCCUGUGGUGGAUCUUCUCCGCCGGAGCGGCGCGCGCGGACGAGGGGAAGCCGGCGGGGGCCGACUGGGACGCGCACGGGCUCCCGGUCACGCGCACACCGGUGCCGCUCUCCAGGCUCGACGGGAGGAAGCGGUACAAGGUCUCCGAGCUCAACUUCCUUGACUGCCGCGCCCGGGACCGCGCCAGCGCCCGGGACCGCGCCAGCGCCGCGGAGAAGAACCCCUUGUUCGACGACAUGGCCAAGCUGCGCCCCGGCGGCGUGUACACCCGGUCGCAGCUGCUCGGGCAGCUCCAGGCGAUGACCUCCUCCGGCAUGUUCGAGCAGGUCAGCCUCCAAGGGAAGCCCAAGCCGGACGGCACGCUCGCGCUCACCGUCACCUACGCCGAGAACAUCUGGCCUGGAGCCACCAAACGGCUCAAGUGCGUCAACGUUGGACUCAUGGCGCCGCCCGACGCUGGCCCUGCUGAGGACAUGACGGCGAGGGAGAAGAUGGAUUACAUCCGGAGGCAGGACCAUGACUACCGGCAGCGAAUCCGCAGCGCCAAGCGGUGCAUUCUACCGGAGUCUGUGCGCGAGGAGGUGCUGGGGAUGGUGAAGAAGCAGGGGAAGUUGACCGCCGGGGUGCUGCAAAGGAUGAGGGACCGCGUCGAGAAGUGGUACCACGACGAGGGCUUUGUGUUCGCCCUGGUGCAGAACUUCGGGAACCUCGACACCGACGAGGUUGUGUUGGAGGUGGUAGAGGGGGACAUCACCAUGGUGGAGUACCAGUUUCAGGACAAGCUUGACAAUAUCGUCGAGGGGAACACUCACAUCGCUGUCGUUGACCGGGAGCUGCCCCAGCAGGUAUGUAUAUAUAUAUAGGCAAUUUUCCUUACUACAUCAACAUCAGUUCCAUGGUUAAUUAACAUGUUCUGUUCGAGAUGUCUAUGGAUGAAUUGUUGUUUAAUGUGCCACGAGUUGAUUGGUUCGAUGUAUUCUAUUACGAUUCUCAAACACAUUUACUCUGACCUGAUAUGCUUUCUUGCAACCAUGUAAUUUACCUUCUGCCUUUCUUACACUGUGCAGCUUCGACCUGGCCAUAUCUAUAACAUUGGGGCAGGGAAACAAGCUCUGAAGCAUAUCAAUUCACUCGCUUUAUUCUCCAAUAUAGAAGUGAACCCUCGCCCUGACGAGACAAAAGAAGGGGGUGUAGUGGUUGAAAUAAAACUCAAGGAACAUGAACCAAAGUCGGCCGAAGUAACUACAGAGUGGAGCAUUGUACCUGUGCAUCAAGGGAGACCAACUCUUGUAAGGCACCACUUAUUUGUAACCUUUUUUCCUUCUUCUCUGCAGAAUCUGUACCUUGAAUGAUAGAAAACAUCAUAAAUAUAUAACCGCCAAUCAUUAUAAAUCCAUGUUUCACAACCCAUCUCACGGAAACUUUCUUUUUAGGCAUCAAUUCAACCUGGAGGAACUGUGUCAUUUGAGCACCGCAACAUCUCUGGUUUAAACAGAUCUCUUGUCGGUUCUGUUACUUCCAGCAACCUGCUCAAUCCUCAGGUGAGUUGGUACUGAGUUCUUUUAUUGAAAACAGAAGCUUUGAUGCAAUGUUGCUUUGGUUUACAAUUACAUCUACAUUCGCUCUGAUCUGCUUGUACUAAAUUAGCUGAAUUGUCACUUAUAACCGUCUCAGUCUUCCUUUGUAACUAUAUGUUUCGAGUCAUAUUUCAAUUAUCAUUAUUACAUGAAGUGUGGAACUCAGUUGAGUGUCUUCUGCAUUGAAAUGUGAAACAUUGCAGACUUUAAUUGCCAUUCUGCUGCAAUCUGAAAUAAGUAAAUAAAAUUAUACCCUUGUUUCAUGAUUUAAAAACAUUUAGUUUAUAAAAUGUACUGGUAUGGUUUACAAGGCAUAUGUUUCAUUUUUAACUGAUCCGUUAUAUUUGUAUUUACGGCAUGUUUCUUUUGGGAUAUCAGGAUCAUCUCUCAUUCAAGCUUGAGUAUGCCCAUCCUUAUUUGGAUGGUGUGGACGACCGUAGUAGAAACCGCACCUUCAAAGCUAGCUGCUUCAACGUCAGGAAAUUAAGUCCUGUCUUUGUUGCUGGCCCCAACAUGGAUGACGCUCCACCUAUCUGGGUUGAUAGAGUUGGAAUUAAAGCCACUAUAACAGAGGUUUGCACAGAUUGAUAUUACCUUCUUCAUCUUUUGAUUUUCAUAAAUAUCUACUCCCAAGAUAUAUUUUUAACAUGAGGAAACUGCAUUUGGAAAUUUUUUCAGAGCUUUACAAGGCAGAGCAAAUUCACUUAUGGCCUCGUGUUGGAAGAGAUUAAAACACGCGAUGAAGAUAACAACAUAUGCACACAUGGUUCUCGAGUAUUGCCUAUUGGUGCAUUGAACAUGGAUGGACCUCCCACAACCUUCAGUGGUACCGGUGUAGAUCGAAUGGCAUUUCUACAAGCUAAUAUAACUCGAGACAAUACUGAGUUUGUAAACGGGGCAACUAUUGGUGACAGAUGUAUAUUCCAGGUGGGGUGUUUUGUUCUCAGUGAAUUUUCAAUUGUUGCUGGGUGUUUAAAACCAAAUUGACUGCACUGUGCCAAAAGGAGAAAGCCAGCUCCUUACACAACUGAUGUUUCUGUUUUCGUAUGAGGCUGCUGCACAAUGCAUAAUGCUGACUGUUUAGGCACAUUUUAGCAAAUGUUAUCAUUACAAUUUUUUUAGAAUCAAGGUAUUCUUGUUUAUGUUAUAAUUGCUUUUCAGUUAUAUUUUAAAUAUCUGGGUUAGUUCUUGUUUAACAGCAUCAUGUGUUUAUAGAAAGUUCUCCAUGGUAAAGUAAAUCCACUUAUAAUUUUCUUGUGGGCCGCAGUUGGACCAAGGUCUUGGCAUUGGAAGCAAAAAUCCAUUCUUCAACCGUCAUCAGCUUUCAGCGACAAAGUUCAUUAAUUUGAAUAAGCAAGAUAAAGGUGCUGGCAAGCCACCACCAGCAAUUUUGGCGAUUCAUGGUCGCUACGCAGGCUGUGUAGGAGAUCUGCCGAGCUAUGAUGCAUUUGCAAUCGGAGGACCUCACUCUGUUAGGGGCUAUGGCAUGGGAGAACUGGGUGCUUCCAGGAAUCUUCUUGAGGUGAGCAUCAAACUAUCGAUCCUCAGGGGGAUUUGGCACUUACUCUGAAUCAUGAUGCAUAGUUGUUAUCGCUGUUCAUGUCGUAGUCGUGGAGGUUUUGCUUUUCUUCGGAUUUGUUUUGAAUCUUAUAUCCAUGCAGUUUGCCACUGAGUUGCGUGUCCCCAUCACUGUGAAGAACAAACAAACGCAGGUGUAUGUAUUUGCUGAGCAUGGCACUGACCUCGGGAGUUCCAAGGACGUGAAGGGCAACCCUACAGAGUUCUUCCGACGCGCAGGCUCUGGGUCCUCCUAUGGCAUUGGUGUCAAGCUCGGCACGGUAAGGGCGGAGUACGCUGUAGAUCACAAUGCUGGUACGGGAGCCUUCUUCCUGAGAUUUGGCGAAAGAUUCUGAAGGCCGCGUCUCUGUCCAGCUUGACGAUCAGAAAGCCCUAUGUAAAUUCGACUGCCAACUUUCUAGAAUAAAAUUAACUCGUGAAGAUAUAACGUCACUGAAUCUUGUAGCAGCAAGGCCCGCGUUAUGAAUGGUUGAGAGUAAAGUCAGAUUCAACUGGAAUAAGAGUUUCGUUUUGAUGGAAGGAUGUCAUUGUACUCUCUUCCUCCGUGGAACUGUACUAGAUGGUAGUCUCGGAGUAUUAUCUUGAACUUGGUAACUAAACCUAUUGAGUGUUAGGAGGAUAAAACUCUUCUCUCAAACUAGAACUUGUGCAUUCACGAUGCAUCCGACAGCUUGCAUCUGUCAGGUGCACGAGAGCACCAGAUGUACUCGGAGCACCCGAUCUUCUCUUACAUCAUUUUUUAAUCUAAAUUGCACAAAUUUGAUAAAUUUGGGCUUUGGGUGAUUUCGAAAUUGCUAUCGCAUUUUCUAGAAUUUAAAAAGUUAUGAUUUAAUCAAAAAUUCAUAACUAACUUAUUUCAAAUCUAAAAAAUAUGAAGUUGGUACAAAAUUUUUCUAAAAAUGUAGGCUAUUUGUUCAUACUCUAUUUGAAAUUGUUUACAUCAUAUUUGUUACUAAACCUAGUGUUAUAUUGUUUUUAAUAAAACACAAGGAACAUGAACAAUCUAGUUUUAAAUAAUGCUAAAUAGUACACCAACAGAUAGUUUACAUUUUUAGAAAAAUUUUGGCACCAAUUUAAUAUUUUUCUGAUUUGAAAUGAAUUAGUUAUGAACUUUUUAAUUAGAUCUAAACUUUUUAAAUUUCUAAAAAAUUGCAAACCACUCCUAAAACUAUCCAAAUGGCUAAAUUUAUCCGGUUUUGACAUAUGAAUGGCCCUCCGUGUCCAGUUUUGUAGUUGUCAGUAUAGACAUGUGUCACAUCACUUUAUUAAUGAAGUAAAAAUUCCUACAAAACCUUCGCUGCAAAUGGCCUUACCGCCUCCCGAUUAUCACCGUUUGUUGUUACCUUUUUCUUUUCCAUUGCUAUGUUUGUCCUCCUCGCCUUUGUGCUCCCCACGUUAGGUGAAUUUUCAAACCUUUAAGGCUAAGAUUGGGAGCCCUUUGUUUUCUCAUUUUUUUAAAACAAAAGAAGAAGAAAAUGAAAAGCGGCUUUACCUGCACAACUGCAGUUUUGGCUAGAAUUUACUCCUAUGUCGAGUAAUUGCUCAUGUAGUGUCGCGGCAUCUUCCAUCGCUUCGACUCCUAUGCAUUAACGCAUGGGAACGCAGCAAUCGGAAAGUUCAGUCUUGAGUGCGGCUGCCUUGGACGGUGCAGGGUGGAGAGCGGGGAGGCUUUGCAUGCAUGGAGUUAAUUAUUAAUGGGCUAAUGGCCGCCUAACCUUCUCCGUUCUGCUUGUGAUAAAACUGAAUCGGCGGCGCAUGCCGGACACCCGUUAUAUAGACCAAACAUGCUUAUGACUAAAAUAAGCUGAAGCUGAAACUAGUAGCCAAACGGUAUACUUUUUUCAGCUUCUUCUGUCUGCGCUUCUCUCCACAGGUUCCAUUUGUUUUCCUAUAUUAGUACAGUUUAUUUGAGAAGCAGCUCCCGCAGCAGUACCGUCGUAACCACACGCCCGGCGGAAAGCCUGGGAAAGCAUAGUACCAGCAAAGGAGUCGCCGGAGCCGCCCGCGAUGACGAAGUACGUCACGCUCUCCGUCCGGGACGAAGAGUACCGCGAGAUCACCCGCACCAUGCGCACGACCGACAAGCUGCACACCCUCAUCGAUUUCUACUACGACAUGGUGCCCGCCGUCGCGUACGGCGAGGGGGCCUUCCUGCACCGCGGCGAGCCGGUCGACAGGAUGAAGACGCCGGCGGACUACGGGAUGCGCGAUAGGGACGAGCUCGCCUUCUCGUCGCAGAUCGACUCGAGCACGUUCCUCACGCUGACCGUGCGGGAAGAGGAAGGGCUCGGGUCCUUCUCCCUCACCUUGCGAACGACCGACCAGCUGCGGGACCUGAUGGACUUCUGCUACGAGAUGGUGCCCACCGUCGACUACGGCGACGGGGUCUUCCUGUUCAACGGCAGGCGGGUUAAAGGCCACCGGACUCCGGAGGAGCUCGGUAUGGUGGAUGGCGAUUGGAUCGGUGUUACUUUCAGAGUUCGUUACUGAACGUCGUCGGGCUGCUUCCGCUGAACCGGCACCGCCCGUAUGUUGCUGCACUUUUCGUUGUGUAAGCAGCUGCUACUUGCGUGCAUCUAAAUUUCACGCAUCUUUUGUUCCAAAAUUUAUCGAUAUCCAUGAAUCGAUCCCUCUCACUCAUCUCACCGUGCUUAUGAUGUACUGAAAUAUGUCAUGGUUACCUAUUCUAGAGUAUCGAGUUUAAAGCCAAAAAAUAUGUAGUAUGUCAAUGUGACUUGAAGUGACAUGAUUCAACACUUUACACAAAAGCAUGGUCGUGCAACUUGAUUGAAUUGAUUCACAUUUUGUGAACAAAAACUAAUUCAACAAUUUCAAUGACCUGAUCUAGCGUUUUGUUAAACUAAUCGAUUCAACAUUUUAUAUCAAACUGUUUAGAAUGUUGAACUAGCGCGCUCAAACUUCUGAACUUCCUACGAUCGGAUCGGCCCAACCACAGCCCUAAACGGUCCGGCCCAGGGCGGCCUCGGUCGGUUGCCCUCUCGCCCAGCACGGGACCAUACCCGGUGCAGCGAAUAGGGUAUCCUCCCGCCGCCGCACUCUCUUCGUCCCGGAUCGAUCCCCAUUCCAUUCCCCACCCGGCUCCAGCACGGAACUUUCCUCUCUCUAGGGUUCCCCCCCUAUCCCCCUCGAGUCUCGACCGUACCAGGUAAAUUACAGGUCCACCCGUCCCGCGUUCGGUCCGAUCCCGUGAUUCGAGCCUUCGCGCAUCGAUCCGGGACUCUUCCGCCCGCAAAUUUCCCCGCGGCGGAGUUUCGCGGCCUCUUUGUAUUUGGGCCAUUCGAGUUGAUUAUUUUGGAGGAUUGAGUGUGCGUUGUUAGAUUUUUUGUGCGACGACUGCGGUGUGUUAAUUGGAGGUUGAAAGAAUUGUAGCUGUUUUGAGGCGGCAAGCGAGUGCUGCAGAAGCAUCACAUCUGCGCCGAGGCAUGGAUAAGGAGCUCUUCGCCAACGACGGCUCCUUCAUGGAGAGGUUCAAGCAGAUGCAGCAGGAGAUGCAGGAGAAGGAGAAGGCCGCUGCUACUGAAGCCUCAUCGGCUCCCAAGCACGGGAGCUCCAAGCCGGGGUUUGCUGUUGCGGCGAACAAGAGGCCGUUCGAGCUGAAGAAGGCUGGUCCAGUCGCCACGGGCGGGAAGCUGGCCUUUAGCCUGAAGAAGGCCAAGGUCGCGGUCGCCCCUAUUUUUGCGGCCGACGAAGAGGAAGAGGAUGUGGAGAGGGAGGAGCCUGCCAAGCGCCACAAGUCUGUGCAAGCUGAUGCUCCUGUGGCAGCUACCCCGGCAGGGGCUGUUGGUAAUCAUUUAUUUAUUAAUUCAUUCAUUCAUUUAUUGCUGUUAUAAUAUAAAAAAUUAUUAGUGGUUUCCCAUUCUUUGGAUUUUUUGUUGGCGUUCUGUGGGUGUAGUUGCUAUCAAAUGAUAAGAUAGAAAUAUGCGACAAGAAUUUUAAUUCAAUAAUUGUCCUAGAACAUCAGCUAUAUAUUGCCUCUUAUCUUUUUUGCUUUUGAAUUCAUUCCCCAUAUAUGUGACAUAUCAUAGGUUUUACUCUUGAGAUGACUUCUAAUUUGGUAUCCCAUACCCCAAUUAAUACCACCGACACAUAUGGUUAUAUUGUCAUUUUUUAAUACAUUUUUCUGUUCCAUGCAUUUGAGGGUGUUAUCCUGAGUCCUGACAGUAUUGCAUUCAUAUUGAUAGUGAAACGAACUAACUAGAUACUUUUUAUUUCAUUUGUCACAUACUGAUUUAACUAGAAAGUAGCACUGCGUUGCAUAUGCAUUUUUAGUGAAAUUAUUACUUGUAGGACUGCUUGGAUGUCAAGUAUAUUUUGGUUUCGUAUGGUUUCUAUAAUAUGUCAUAGCAUAAAAACUUUUAGGUGUUGGUAUACAACUAACAGUGUACAAAUGUAGUAUUCCAACCACCAUGUUAUUUUGGAGUUUAUGAAGGAAACCCAUUAAACACCUCUUUUUCCUAAAAAGUAAACACGAGGCAUGCUACGAUUUCCCUUUCUCACCACAUGCGAAGUAUUUAGCAUUCCUGUCUAAUUUCAUGCAGUACUAUCAGUAAACACAUUCCUAAUGUGACUAAUCUGAAUUGCAUACAUUCAUUUUGGAUUGUUCACAGUAUUACUUUAGCCUUUUUUUAUCUCCAUAUAUAUAAAGUAUUGUUAUAAUUAGCCUACCCCAACUUGCUUGGAACUGAAAGGCUAUGUUGUUGUUGUUGUUAUUGUUAUAAUCAAAGCUAACUGCAUUCAAAUAGGCAAAUAGUAUGUAUGUAUGUAUCAUGCUUUAUUUAGUUUUCCUCUGUUGGAUAGUUCUUCUAUAUACUGUAGAAAAUGGUGGUUUUCACAAUUUAUGUUGUUUCAGUUCCCAUGUAUUAAAAAUAUGGUUUUCAAAAACUCUGCUUUGAAAUGUUCCUGACAUCAAAACACAUCCUUAUAGUAUUGAUUUCAUGCAUUUACAAAUGAUAAAAAUGGAUCUAGAAAGCAACAAAUUGCAAUGCACAUUGGUGUUGGAAUCGACCAUCUAACAGUGUUUAAUAAUUUUUUAAAACUAUCCAAGAAAAUUGCUUGCUGUUGCACAACGUGAUUUAAACCCUCCGUUUAUGCUUGGCUCAUACGUUGUUAGGUUUACAAAAGAAACAUCUUUCUCAGUGUUUGGGUUCAUUAUAAGUCAGGCAGCAGAAAGUCGUGAAGGUUUUGUUUUUUUUUUCCGAUAACUGCAGCUUAUAGAUGAACUGUAUUGGCAUUGCCAGGAAGGAUAUGAUUGAAAGAGUUGGAGACUCUACUGCAGUAAUUUGCAUUGCCUUGUCAAUAUGCUUGAUAUUAAUAGUUCUUUAAGUGACAUGCAGCCCCACCCCCACCAAAUGAUAUGACAGUGAAGCAAGUUGCUGACAAAUUGGCAAGUUUUGUUGCAAAAAAUGGGAGACAAUUUGAGAAUAUCACACGGCAGAGGAAUCCUGGAGAUACACCAUUCAAGUACGACUGCACUACUUAUUUUUCUGAUAAACUCUGUUUUACUUUUAAAUUCUAAAAUCUGACUUUAAUAAAUUAUUGAUAUAAAUCUUGGGUUAUUUGCAGAUUUCUAUUUGACAAACACUGUCCAGACUACAAAUAUUAUGAGUUUCAGCUUGCUGAAGAGGAAAAGGCUCUUGGUCAGUCAAAGGAUGCUGAAGCAUCAAAAAAUGGUUUGUGGCACAAUUUUUUUAAUCAUUUUCUAUAUCUAAAAGUUCUAUAAAAGUCUUGAUGCUAUAUACUCUUGUUAAUGUAGCUAGUUCUAGCACUGCAAGCUUCAAAGCACCAAGUGGUCCGUAUAAAAGCUCAUUUGAACAAAAGUCCAACUAUCAGACACCUGCAUCAGCUUUGUAUGGGGCAUAUGAGGGUAGUUCUUCCCAAGGAAGCUCAUCUAGUUAUGGUAAAAUAUACAUACAUGGUUUCCUUUAUCAAAUGUUAUAUAUCUACAUUCUCUAUGUUCCUGGACUGUUCGCCUGUUUACAUUUGUUUGAGUUUGCAUUUUGCAAGUCAUCCAAAUCAGGCACUUCUAUUGCCUUAGUAUCUUAUUGUUAUUUCUGAUGUCUUGAAUAUUAUGUUUCAUCCUUGUAGCUUCAAUGAAUAGAUAUAUUGUAGGGUUUCUGUUGUGAACCAUUAAAACCCUACUGCCUGUCAUCUCCCUGAUCUAUAGUUUGCUUUAGGAGUAAAAACCAUUGCUUCCUAUCUUGAACUGUUUCUUGUUAUUAUAUGUGCUUAAUGCUAGUUCAUCAUUUUGCAGGUGAUCACAAUACAUCUGCACCGUCAGAUCCUGUAGCUUUGAUGGAAUUCUAUGCGAAGAAGGCUGCACAGGAAGAACGGAAGAGGCCACUAAGACAGUCAAAAGAUGAAAUGCCGCCACCUCCUUCUCUUCAAGGUACAUUUUUUGCAACAUGAUUUGCCGUACUGGAAGAACAUAAAAACUUCAAUAUUUGUUCUACAACUAAAAAUUCUUGUUUUGCAGGUCCUCCUAAGAAGGGACACCACAUGGGUGACUUCAUUCCUCAAGAAGAACUUGAAAAGUUCAUGGCACGCUGUAAUGAUGCUGAAGCACAAAAGGCUACGAAAGAAGCUGCCGAGAAGGCUAAGAUUCAGGCAGACAAUAUUGGCCACAAACUUCUAUCUAAGAUGGGUUGGAGGGAAGGUCAGUCAUUGAUGAAUACUAAAUAACAUAGUCACCAUUACAGUAAUUCUCUGAUCAAACCCUGUCAGAUCUUUUUUUCAAAGUCCCAGAUGUUUAUGGCAACAGUACAUCAACCCCUCUGACCUUGACCGUCAUAUUCAUCCAACAAACCUUAAAAAAUUGUCAAAUUAUGCUGUUAACAAAGCCUUCCAUCCCAAAUACCAGAUAUAAGAACUAUUUACAAUGGAUCCUUUUUCCUCAGCAUUGUCCUGCAUGCAUUAAUUCUCAAUAUCCCUACCCGGUGGAACCUUUUUUGUCAGGCACAUAGGAAGGCAAUUAGCGAUAAUAUGCACCAUUCCACUUCCAGGUGUUAAAUAUAAUUUACUGUGCAGGUGAGGGUCUUGGUAGUGAGAGAAGAGGCCGUGCGGAUCCCAUUAUGGCUGGAGAUGUGAAGAAGGAUCAUCUUGGUGUUGGUGCUGUCAAGCCUGGUGAGGUCACAUCUGAAGAUGACAUCUACGAGCAAUACAAGAAGAGAAUGAUGCUUGGAUACCGCUAUAGGCCAAACCCUCUGGUAUAUUUGCUGCCAUUGUCUACUUCCAGGAGUUGUAUGUUAUUUCUGUUUGCCUAAACACUUCUGCUAUUUUUGCAGAACAAUCCAAGGAAACAAUAUUACUGAUACAGGUUAGUUCAUCUAAGAUGUAAGACACCAAUUUUGCUGUAUUUUUGCUCACAUAACUAACAGCUAGGGAGUAUGACUAACAGCAUUGAAAGUUUUUGUUCAUCAGCAGAAAAACUAAGAAGCUCAUUUAGUCAGCAUAUAUCUUGGAAUGCCACAGAUCUGAGGCUUACGGGGGGUUCAACCGUAGCUUUGUUCUUUGUGUAGUGUUGAUCUUUGUUGCUUUAAAUUCACUUCCAUGGUGAUGUGUUGAAACGUGGAGCAUAGUUUCAUAAUGUGAUGUAUUGCCUUCUUGGAUGACAACAUAUCUUUCCUGAUUAUUCAUCUUUUUGUUGGGAUUUAUUGCCGCAAUAUCAUAUUUCCAUACUGGGAGGCAUAAUCUAAAAGUCUGUUGCAAUGGUUCUAUUUUAUUCUGGAUUCUGGAAUUUGAAUAGCUAUGUGGAACGUGAGUGUCGGUACGGAAGCUAUUACUUACUGGCAGCAUAUAACUUGGCGUUAUUUCUGUAGGAGUUAAAAUUCUGUUAUGCUCUCUGCCACUCUGAUGUGCUGAAUUAAUGGGUUACUUUGAUUGUGAUCUAAGCGCUUAUGGCCUGAUGGGCUAAUCUUAUUACACGGUUUUAUUGCAUAGUUACUUAGAUUGAAAACUAGGUAAUAGUGCUAGAUGAGUGUUAUGGGGAUUAAACUCAUUUCUUGUUUGAUGAAACUAUCUUUAUUCAUUACCUUGCCAAGUUAGGUCUCGUUCGUUUCAUCAGGAUUGGAUUCCAGCCAGGAUUACUUCCAGGUCCGGUUUGAGUGAUUCCACCCGUGUCACUCAAUCCGGCCAGGAUUCAUUCCAGGGGUGAGGAGUUAUGGUUUCAAUCCAGGCCAUCUAAUGUAGUAGGAUUCCAAUCCAGAUCGGUUUUCGUUCCAGGCAAGACUAAAACGAACAACACUUUCAAUGCAAGUCUGGUUUCAAACCGGACCAAUUCAAACCACCCGGAAUGAACCUCAUUCCGGGCCAAUCCGUGAAAACGAACAGGCCUUAGCAAUUUUGGUGUGGCAUGAACUCUCGUGAAACAGACUGACCUUACUGUUAUGCUCUCUGCCUCUCGGUCUCGGAUGUGCUGCAUUAAUGGGUGACGUUGAUUGGAAACCACAGUAAGGGAGACAUAAAUUUAUAUUUUAGGAAAAUAUCGUAAAGUUUGCACAAGCGUAUCUAUUACUCUAUAUUAAUGUUGCUAGACUAGACGAAAUCUCAGAGGCUGAGCUACUGUUCACCGACGCUGGUACGUGGGUCCGAAAUCCAAUCAGUUAUGAAAAAAAAAAAAAGAAGAAGAUUCGAGAGUCCACAGGUCUCGGUCCUCCACGACCACGAAGAAUCGGCGAACUCCAUUUGCCUAGCCGCACCUAUCGCCGUUGGUCCGCUCCGCACGCUGGGGCCGCCGGCUCGCUCCGGCGCCCGCUCCCUCGACCGGCGGAUCGCGCCGCCGCCCGCUCGAGCAGCCGCAUGCGCCGCCCGGUGGGAAUGUGAGAGCACAUCAGCAACCACCGGCGGCCGUCAACACCACUUGAAUCUUGGCAUGGAGAGAGAGAAAGAGAGAACAGAGCUGUGCAGCGCAAAAGUCUGGACAACCAACCGAAUCAGGCCACCGGCGUCGGCUCUGCCAUUGCUUCCACCGAUAGACUUCCAGAGCAGUCUGCCACCGUGGCCUCUCACUACCCUCUCUAGAGCAACCAGCAGCCGUGGCUCCGCGCUCACCGAGCCCAAAAAUGAUGGCCUUCUAGCUGCAGGCAAGACCUCAAUCCGCAGGAAUCAAAUUCACUCUCCAAGUCUUUGUAGCUUUUGUGGAUGGAUGGGGGAGAGAGAGAGAGAGAUUGCCAUGGGGAUGACCGGAUGACUAGAUGAAGGGAUAAAGGGCACAGUGCACUUAAAAAAGAAAGAAAAUAGGCCUUUUAGACGCUUUCCUCACUGGCUUUUUACAAAACAGGAGGGGAUCCCUUACUAAUUACUAUAUUAAGCAAAACAAAGAGAAAGUAUGUACAAAAGAAAAGAUAUUUAGCGAAUGAAAGAAAAAUUACAGCAGAGUAUGCAACCGUCGUACUUCAAUGGGAAAAUAGGAUUUCUUUGCUAAAUAAUGAUUCAGAGCAAAUAAAUGCAUAAAAAUCUCUUUCAUCUAGAGGAACGGCAUGAAUUUGAAUUCUGGUUUCAUUCUGAUUUGUUUCCUAAUUUUGUUCAAUACUCAAUACUAUAAUAUAUACUUAUAGCAAAGUAGAGAGAUUACAUAUGUAACUCUUUCCGUUAUUGCUUUGAGUUAAUAUUUUUGUACAGGCGCGCAUCGCGCGCCAAUCUAUCUAGCAUGGCACUUGGUGAGAUACGAAAGUUGACAAGUAGGGCCCAUUCUUGCCCCCCUUGUCUCACCAUCUCGUAUCUCGCGGCUGGCUCACUUGAACUACCAUGUGCUGGGCACCUGAAGCUGAAAUGCUGAAAGCGAAGCGCCCGCCGCCCGCAGCGAUCAGAGCGCCGGUACAGGAAUCUCUCACGCAGUCACGCUGCUGAUCGCCUCCCUCCCCAGUCCUCACUGAUUGCGCUUUGCCUCUGGCCCGGCCGGGGCCCCGGGCCUCAUGCAUGUCCAGUCACGCCCACCAAACGGAACGCAGCCAUCUUUUUGUAAUAAGCACCAAGUUGGCGGCGUUAACAAUGCGGGAUAAUCCGCUGGAUCAUCAUCGGGGACGCUGGCCUGGUUUGAUGACCUGGACGAAUAUCAUCGAGCUACCAAUCUUGGAAGAGAAGUCUGGAGGCGCAUGCUGUCGGGUGUCAGCCUGUCUCCACCGCUGGCCGCCUCGCUGUCAGCUGUACUGCACUGCACCCGGUCACUCAUUCACUGGCCGGUAGGCAAGCUUGAGGCUCAAGUAGCCGCCAUAAGCCUCCAUUGAGUACUCCUGCCAGCAUCACUGCCCAGACCUCCAGAUUUGUGGAGUGACGGUAGUAGCAGGUUACUUCUGGUAGGAAAUCGAAACCAUUCAGGACCAACGCCUGUCCGCUGGCGACAACGAAAAGCCGUUAUGGCGAGCGAUCGAUCCUGGUCUGGUUACAGUUAAGCGCGCCUCGGGUGUUAGGAUACCCCAUGCUAAAGUUUAGCACAUGUCACAUCGGAUGUUUGAUGCUAAUUAGGAGUAUUAAACAUAGGCUAAUUACAAAACUAAUUGCACAAAUAGAGUCUAAUUCAUAAGACGAAUCUAUUAAGCCUAAUUAGUCCAUGAUUUGACAAUGUAGUGCUACAGUAACUAUUUGCUAAUGAUGGAUUAAUUAGGUUUAAUAGAUUCAUCUCGCGAAAUAGCAUAGGGGUUUUGCAAUUAGUUUUAUAAUUAGUUCAUAUUUAGUCCUCCUAAUUAGCAUCCGAACAUCCGAUGUAACACUGCUAAAGUUUAGCAUCCAGUAUCAAACACCCGUCGUCGGUCUGACUGCUCCGAACGUUGUCGUUCCACCGGCCCCGAGAUCAUUCCCGGCUGCCUCGCAGCUGUGCGCGCGCUGGCGACCGCCUACCGGCCGCCAUGAUACGAGCCGCGCCGCGGACGUCAGGUUCGGCCGCUCGUCUCGUGGCGGCCGGUGGAGACUGGAGAGGUGACCUCGAGACAAACCAAUCCAGGAGGCCGCGGUGGUUGGCCACUCGCGAUCCGACCCGCGCGGGUCCCCCCGUGAAGUUCCCCCUUCGAGAUCGCGAGCCAAAAAUAUCGCAUCCCCGGCCGGCCGGCCCAGCUCCAACCUCCAACAGGAAGCAAAAAAAAAUCAACGGGCUUGUGGCGGUCGCGGUCUCGGGGAUCCGUCGGCCGGAGCGGCCGAACGAUCGCGUGUGGCGGCACGCCGCGCCGGGGACAUGAGGCGUCGGGCCGCGUGGAAGUGGAGGCGUGCGUGCUCAUAAAUGAGCACGCCUAGAAGCGGCCAGGAGUCCAGGACGGCGUGGUCGUCGUGUCACGGGCACUGCGCGCACGCCAGUGCCGUCCAUCACGUACCGUCGGCCGUGCGUUCUCUUUGCAGCGGCACGGUUUGGACACCGGAGGAAGUACGUGACAGGAUUUGGCAUGCGACCACUCGCACCGUACUUUGUAAAAAAGAUCAAGUAGCGUGGCGCAUUUCGGUUCCAGGCUUGGAUUACUCGCCGAGAUAGGCCGGGUGACAAGAUUAGGCUAGCUAGGGUAUGAAUGAGUGGUCGCAUUUUUCACUUUAUGGGUUUUUUAGAUCGCUUCCAGUUCAAAUUAUUCGUGAACCGAUCUAUGGACCGUCGAGAAGUUCAAACUGGAUUCCGAAGUAUUCGAAUCCAAAUCUCGGCGUGGCCGUGACCGUGACCAAACAGCCCAAGUGGGCGAGCUGCUGCUGCUGACCCGGCCGCGCAACCGCCUCCACAUGACCCAUCUCAUCUCAGGCUCUCCGCGGCUGGCACCCCACGUGCCGGCGCUGGCCUGACACCUUGGCGCAUGGGCGCGGCGCCCACCCGGCCAGCUCCGGUUGGGUACACCCGGUCCUUGCUUGACGGUGGAACAAAAACACGGCCGGCCCGGCAGCGUACGCGCUGCUGAUAAAAAGGCUAGCGACCGGGUAAAUUGUCGCGGCAUUUUGUCGGGUUAGACCGGCGCACCGUAGAUCGGUUCAUGGACCCCUGGUGACCUAGCGUCAUAGCUCGUCAUUUAGACAUAGGCAAAAGAAGAUCUUCAUAGAAGAAUGUGUUAGAAAAACGGAAAAACUCCAUCCUUAUUAGUCACUUGGGAAGCGUGCUACGACAAAUAAAAAAGAUGGCAAGCGACAGAUAAAAAGGGACGGAGAGAGUAUACGGUAACAGAGAUGCAUGCUGUUAUGUUUAUUUUACUACACUAUACCUAUCAAGAUCUUUAUAACAUUUUCGGAGUAAUAAAUGUAACCCUUAUUUUCUAGCUACCAGGUGACUCCUAAAUUUCGAACACAUAUUGUUAUAUUGUUGUACAAGGUUCAUUUUGCUCUUAUGAACCUACAUUGCAAAUUACAAUAGGGAUUUAUGUGUGAUUGUAUGACUUACGGACACAUGCACCAAAGAUUAUUCGAGCCAGUGAUGACCGAACUCACUUGGAUGAGAUGCAAGGGGAAAGAUGAAGUUAUGUUUUGGGGAUUACACCAAGUGUCGUUGUACGGACGAUGUAAACGGCUCCGUGCAGUUUUUUUUCUUUGGCACAAAGGCAUCAUUUUGUCAUAGAUAAAAUAAGUGUUUGUUUAAUUCAAGGGUAUGCAGCCUCAACAUUUACCUUGGUUCGUAAGGAUUUUGAUUCAGUUCCAUUCCUGUGAAUGCUUCUUUUUGUUCGAAAAAUUAAAAUGCAGAUAUCGUGCUUAGGAAGAAUACCGGACGGCUGGCAGUAACAAAUCAUACAGUAUUUGCCUUCUAUAAAGGCAGCUGGAGACUGUUCUCCGAAAUAAAUCAUAGCGGCUUAGGAGUGUUUGAUACGAGGCGCUAAACUUCAGCAGGUCAUAUCGGAUGUUUGGAUACUAAUUAUAAAGGUCAAACACGAGCUAAUUACAAAACUAAUUGCACAGAUGGAGUCUAAUUCGCAAGACGAAUCUAUUAAAGCUAAUUAAUCCAUCAUUAGCAAAUAGUUACUGUAGCACCACAUUACCAAAUUAUGAACUAAUUAGACUUAAUAGAUUCAUCUCACGAAUUAGACUCCAUCUGUACAAUUAGUUUUGUAAUUAGACUAUAUUUAAUAAUUUAUAAUUUGUAUUAAACAUGCCAUAUGACAGGUACGGGUAUCCAAACACCUCCUCUCCUUUCCUCUUGGUAUGUUUAGCAGUUACCCCUGGCGAAGCCGUUUCGUCGACGUGCCGUGGUUUAACGGACGGGACGGGGACGGCCGGCUCACGUGAACAACGCCCACGAGGCCGCGCUGGCUCUUGUAAAAGCAACCGCUCCCUCCCUAGACGCUAGUGCCUCUUUCCUCUCUCCUCCGCCCCUUUUUAUCGCCCGAUCUCACACAUUUUGGAAAGAGGAGAGAGAGAGAACGCCCAGCCAAACAGCCAAGGAAACAAACCGCGGCGAGAGGCGGAGGAGAGGGAGGAAGGAGGGCAGAGGACGAGCAAGAUGAGAGAGAUCAUCAGCAUCCACAUCGGCCAGGCCGGGAUCCAGGUCGGAAACGCCUGCUGGGAGCUCUACUGCCUGGAGCACGGCAUCGAGGCCGAUGGCACCAUGCCCAGGUGAGUGACGAUCUCGAUCCGCGAGUGCGUUGCUUUUGGUUCCCCAAAUUUUUUGCUGCGUGCAUCCGCCUCGCGAUCUAGGUUCUCGGCUUGGGCCGCCUCGAAAAUCUGGCGGUCUCGUUGCAUCUCCUCGUUGUUUCCUUCUUCUCGAGAAAUCCUUGCUUCGGCGGAGCCAACGAUGGGCGGGCGGGUGGGUAUGUUAGAUUGGAUGGUACUGUCAUGGCAGUUCCGUGUUCGUGUCUUCCUUUUCGUUCUACUUCUCGUUGCUCCUUGGCUCCUUGUAAUGGGUUUUUUUGGGUGGGAUAUGUUGCGCUUUGUUGGGCGUUGGUACAUUUCUUUGCCGGUUGUUGAGAGAUUCCCAGCACCGGACGAGAUGCGACAUUUCCUAAUUAAGAGUCUGCCCUAGCAUUUUCGGACUAUUAGGCCUUUAAUUUGGUGCGUUUGUUCUGUUCCUACUAAUUAGGCAGGCGUCACAGAGGGGAUGCGUUUGGCUUUUGUAUAGAGGAGCGCACGUUAACAUGUCGUGGGACAAAUUGGGUUUCCAACUCCGUAAGACGCAAGAUCUGAAGAGUUGAAUCUGUGGGGAUGCUCAAUAAAUACUGUAACUGGUUAGCUCUGGUGGAUGUCAGCCCAUGGAUCUCCCUAGAUUCAAAAUAUCUGGUCCAUUGUUAAAAGUGCUAUGCUUAUCUCAGUUUUGCGUAAUCUUGUAGCGCCAUAGAAAAUUGUGCUGAUGCUACUGAGAAUAGAAAUCAUGUUGGGGAUCCUGAGGAGGCAGGUUACGUAGGCUCUAAUUUAUCUUUUGGCGCAUAUGCCAAUGACUCUUGAUUACAUUAACUGAGUUAACUGAUUUAUAAGUUCUUACUGUGCGGUUUUUUUAACGCUGUAUUGUUUGAUUGUGAUGCAGUGAUACCUCGGUUGGCGUUGCACAUGAUGCCUUCAACACUUUCUUCAGCGAGACUGGUUCUGGCAAGCAUGUGCCGAGGGCCAUCUUUGUCGACCUUGAGCCCACUGUCAUUGAUGAGGUGCGCACUGGCUCAUACCGCCAGCUCUUCCACCCAGAGCAGCUCAUCUCCGGGAAGGAGGAUGCGGCUAACAACUUUGCCCGUGGCCACUACACCGGUAAUUCACAUUGUGCCUUUGUGAAUAUGUAAUAGGAGUGAGUCUUGUGCUUCUGCGACUGCGGAUAUGUUCGAUUCUAAUUAUGUUUGUGGAAUGCAGUCGGAAAGGAGAUUGUCGAUCUAUGCCUGGAUCGCGUGCGCAAGCUGGCAGACAAUUGCACUGGGCUGCAGGGAUUCUUGGUGUUCAAUGCUGUUGGUGGUGGUACUGGCUCUGGACUUGGUUCACUGCUGCUGGAGCGCCUCUCAGUUGAUUACGGCAAGAAGUCCAAGCUUGGGUUCACCAUUUAUCCUUCCCCACAGGUAUGGCCUUUCCAAGAGGAGGUUGACUUAAGUAUCUGAGAAAUUGAUAAAAUCAAGUAGGUCUUGAAUCUCUAUUGGGCAAUUUGCUUAGACUUGUAUAUAAUUAAUAUCCUUGCGAACCCAUGCUAAGAUAUGGAUCAUGUAACUUGGCAGCGCUGUUAUUGCCUUCUGAAUUGCACAGAUACACUGGUUAUUGGAUCAGCCUAGCAUUAAUUAAAUCAUGUGUGGACUAAACGAGCAACUGUUGUAGACUUCUGGAGUUCUGGUUAGUGAGGAUCUUCCUUUAUAUGGUUAAGACCAUGAUAGCACAACUGUCACAGGCUACAGGCUUUCUUUAUUAGUGUCCCUAUAAAUCAUGCACUGCACAUGAGCCAACAUUAUCCUAUAGUGCUUCUCCCUCCUGUCCAUUUGAUUGUGGGCCAUUUAGUUUGUUCAUGUGAGUCUGCAUCUUAGCUGUUGUGGGGGACAGUGGGUAGAGAUGUUGUUUAAUGAUUUUGGGUAUGGUCCAUCGUUUAACUUUUCAUCUAAUGCCACUCUGGAUUGCAGGUGUCAACAGCUGUCGUAGAGCCAUACAACAGUGUCCUCUCUACCCACUCCUUGCUUGAGCACACAGAUGUUGCAGUCCUCCUGGACAACGAGGCUAUCUAUGACAUAUGCCGGAGGUCCCUUGACAUUGAAAGGCCAACCUACACCAACUUGAACAGGCUGAUCUCACAGAUCAUAUCUUCGCUUACCACCUCCCUGAGGUUUGAUGGUGCUAUCAACGUGGAUGUUACUGAGUUCCAGACCAACCUUGUUCCAUACCCACGUAUCCAUUUCAUGCUUUCAUCAUAUGCCCCUGUAAUCUCUGCCGAGAAGGCCUACCAUGAGCAGCUCUCUGUGCCUGAAAUCACCAAUGCUGUCUUUGAGCCCUCAAGCAUGAUGGCCAAGUGUGACCCAAGGCAUGGGAAGUACAUGGCUUGCUGCUUGAUGUACCGUGGUGAUGUUGUUCCCAAGGAUGUCAAUGCUGCAGUUGCAACCAUCAAGACCAAGAGAACUGUCCAGUUUGUGGACUGGUAAGCUGUCUCCGUCACAAUUUUAGUUAGUUGCACUUAUUUGAUGAUGUCACAAGCACCUGUCCACUUGAUUGGCCAUGCUAACUAACCAAACUGUGGUGCCGCCAUACAGGUGCCCCACUGGGUUCAAGUGUGGUAUCAACUACCAGCCACCAUCUGUUGUCCCUGGAGGCGACCUGGCAAAGGUCCAGCGUGCAGUGUGCAUGAUCAGCAACAACACUGCCGUCGCCGAGGUGUUCUCACGCAUUGACCACAAGUUCGACCUGAUGUACGCCAAGCGCGCCUUCGUGCACUGGUACGUCGGUGAGGGUAUGGAGGAAGGCGAGUUCUCGGAGGCCCGUGAGGACUUGGCCGCGCUCGAGAAGGACUACGAGGAGGUCGGCGCAGAGGGCGCGGACGACGAAGGUGACGAUGGAGAAGACUAUUGAGUAGCUGGUUAAUAAGUAGUUCGCUGGUGGUUAAUGGUUGGGUUGUUGGGUAUACUCUGUAUGGUUCCAUUCCAUUGCGUACUGCUGCCGUGUGUGUUUCCAUUUUGUAUUAUGUGGUAUAAAUUGUUCGUAGCGCCUGGUUGGCCAUGAUUGUUCAUAUCGUCUUGCUUUGGUUUGCAAUGCUAUUCGAUGAAUUUCGGUGUAUAUCAGUAUAUGGCAUUCUGUUGCAAGUGUUCUGUGCUCUCAACCAUUGGGGAGGAGUUUGAUCUGCCCCGCGGCGUGUUGUCAGGUGGAUAUCAACCAAUGCAGGAUAUGGUUUGCAGGUUGCUCAUAGAUGCCUGAUGCUACGAUCACUGACCAUCAGUCACCAAUGCAUUUGAGGUGGGCAUGGUGUGUCUGAGCUGCUUGAGCCAUACGCUCAGGGUAUGAUGGCAUGUGGAGAUCGCCGUGCUCGUCUGGCACAUCCGGCAAGCGCUGGUCGCGCACAUUCCCCCGGUUUGUCCAGACUUGGUGUCGCGACUCGCGAUGCAAGAGGGAUGAUAGGUGAGACAGCUUGGAAAGUGUUUAGAUCUGUGCACGAGAGCCCCGCGACCUGGUGCCAGUCGAUGUGGGUUGGUUGGUUUGGCAUCUGGUAGGUUUGGUGGCCUCAUGACGCUUUAACUUGGGAUGUCUCGUUCAGGAUCUCAGAAUUAUGAUGUGUCGAAGAAGCGUAAGGCCGGGUAAAAGUUGGAACUCACCCGACGAGCGUGAGUGUGUGACCCUGGAGUUUCAUUAUCGAAAAAAUUAUCUGGCGGACUUCCUGACCCGCCAUGGAUUCAGGCCAGGUAGGCAGCAUCAUUGAAGUACUACCAUCUGGAGUAAGAGUCGGUAGGUUUUCUGCAGAUCAGCAGAUGUGCGUCCCAGUAGCUAUGACUCCACUGGAGCAGAAGCAAACUGAGCCCAACCCGGCAGCCCCAAGAAAAAAGGUUUGGGCUGGGAAAUUGGGUUGCCGGCAAGGCCUUGUUGCGUGACCAGACUCCGGCCCAAAGAGGUGGCAUUACAAUCACCUCCAAAUAACGUAGCUUAGCUGCUCUCCAAAACAAAAAUUAAAAAAAAAUAACGUAGCUUAGCUAGCUUGCUGACUGACGAUGCCAUGGUUACAAAAGAUGCCAUGGUUUGAUUUGAUGACAACAAUGGAGCCGUUGCCGAAGAUGGAUCCACUCGAGCAAGGGCACAGGCCGCCACUCAGUUUUUCUAAUUUCAAUGGGCAUAAAGCUUAUCUAGUAAAGUUAUAAAGGCACACAUUUUUUCCAACUAGAUCCGGCAGCUAUGGUGUCACGGAGGAAUUGCCACAAAGACGAACAUCCAAUGUGUUGGGGGUUGUCGGAUGGGAGAGAAUUUCCCGCAUAUUAUUGGAUGCAUGGACAGAAGUUCCCACCGUUGCGUGAGCGCUGACACUACGAAAACUGACACCGCCCAUGCAGCAACUUGCAUUGCGUUGGUUAGAGCAACUGUUCCGUUCGUUGCCAUUUUGUUCCCUCCUCCGGCAUGUUUAAACUAGCAAAGCAUAAGUAGCCAGGGGGGAUCAACUGCAUCUGCCGCCUGCCGAUAACACGGCCGAGUCACUCACAUGGAGGAGUUCUGAUGCUUUUGCCCACCCUGCUGAUUCCUGAUCCCUGAAUAUUAUCGCGUGUCCAGGAGUUCCGGGACCCAUUGCUCACCUGCUCCGCUAAAAAAAGUUGCAAAAAAAGAAAGAAAAAAUGGCUCUCCCCUCCUUGUCCUCGCAUUCCCGUUUGUUUCUGCCGCUGUCGCGAGCGCUCAGCACAAACUUUCUCUGCUCAGCUCUCGUGCAGGCUGGAGUUGAAGUGUUGAACCAUCGUCCGCGAGCUGCAACCGAGCCAAAAACCGGGAUCGAUGGGAUCGGACUCCGUUGGACGGGCUCGAUUGGAAGUGAAAGGUGAUUGGGGGGGGGGCCCGCGACGACAAAAGCUUGGUAAAUGUGCCGACACCUGGCAGCGCGGCGGCAUGUUUGGCUCAAAUUUGAGCGCUCCAACCCCAACAAGGCAGGCUCGGGCUUAUAUAACUUGGGCCCCAGAGAACGCGCCAUAACCUGCAUUGAUCGUGCACCAAUCCUCGAGGGAAGUUCGUUUAGCGAGUUCUUGGAUUUCCCCGUUGGAGGGACAUAUCCAAAUCUUAAUUUUUUUUACGGGAACGCCAGGGAAGGCCCUACCCGAUUUUUGUUAUAUAUAAAAAGGAAUAUGUACAGUUUACAAGGCUUCAGGCUCAAGGUAAAAAGAGAGAGUUCACAAGAGGCUACUCAGCCAAAUAUUAAUCUUCUGACUAAUGGAAGGUUUUGCCCUAAGGGUAACCUUUUCUAGCUCCGCUACAAAAACAAGCUCUCCAGCAGCUGAAUGAUAGAGUACCACCAUCAAAGAUUAUGCUGUUCCUGUGACACCAUAAGGCCCAUGACGCAAUUAUCACAAUCUCCCUAAAAAAUACUGGAUGCAAACCUCUCCCGUGCUCUGUCAAGAGGUUGGAGGCUGAGGUCCCAUUGAAUGUCCAAAUGUCCAAAUACAGCGAACAGGCCUGGCUGAAAAGGACAGUAAAAGAAUAAGUGACUGAUUGUCUCCUCUACAUUCCCAAUGCACAAAACACAGUUGUAGCUAUCCAAGUACAUGUUCCUUCCAUGUAGGAGGUUUCUGAUGUUAAGCUUAUCACGAAGGAGGAGCCAGAAGAAGAACUUGUGUUUGUUUUGAACCCUAGACUUCCACAUCUAUUUGAAGAGAGGGGAGGCCCGUAUAGAACCCUGGAGGCUUUUGUAAGCUGUUUUGCUUGUAAAGACUGCAGAUCCCCAAAUAUAAGUCCAGACAUCAUUUUGCAAAUCCCCCAUGUGCAAUUGGUCUAAAAGCUGCUGAAGUUCAGUCAGUUGGGCAGCAGCAAUCUGAGCUAUUGUCGGAGGCGAUAAACUUUCUCACCGAAAUAGAAUUUCUCUUUGAGAAAGAGGAAAGCUGCGGAAAUCUCCAUUUGAGCACACCUAAGUCUUAGAGAUCACUCCAGAAGGCAACUGAGUUUCCUUUCUGAGCAUUGCAAGUAGCUAUCAUGGAGAGGUUUUGCGCCAGAGAUAUGAUGUCCUUCCACCAAAAGGAUCCAACAUUCUGCCUUUCAAGGGGGAGUACCAUUCUUAUACAACCACUGCCAUGUGAGAUGCACCCAGGGUAUGUCCACUUUAUUAUAAAAUUUGUGAAGAAAUUUGAGGAGAAGCGUAGUGUUGUCAGUCCUUACUCCUUAGGUUGAUAAUGCCAAGACCACCAUCUUCUUUGCUCCUGCAAGCAUGCUCCAAGCCACCAAGCAACCACCCUUUUUGUCAGAUCACCACCAUUCCAGAGGACAUGUUUCUAGUACUUGUCAAUUUUGUCCAAGAUUUCCACAGGUAUCUUUAGAGCACACAUGUAGAAGGUGAGCAUAACUGAGUAUAUAGAAUUUACAAGAAUUAACCUACCAGCAUAAGAUAGCAUCCUUGAUGUACCCAUGAGGUGCUUUUCCAUACGUUCAAGGAUAGGCAUGAAAUCCACUACCGAGGUCCGAGUGGUUCCAAGAGGAAGACCGAGAUAAGUGAAGAGCAUGCUUCCAAGCUUACAACCUAAGGUUUCUGUUAACUCUGGCCAUUAUUUUGAUUCCUCCACAUUAAUGGGUACCAGGAUAGAUUUGUGGAAAUUUACCUUGAGACCAGUGGAAGUGGCAAACGUAUGAACUUUUUUGUAUAUAAGAUUCAAAUCUUAACUUUGAAAUACCAAUCUCAUUUGAUUAGUUUUGGACGAAAAAUUCAUACUACUUCGACCUUCUUUAGCAAGGCUCUACUUGGCUUUGGCUCCAGCUCUUUGCUACAGUGAUCGAUACUGUGCAACACCAUUUUGAGCUGUAGCGUGAAACCAAAACGCAAAACGAGGAGUAAAAUGGACUAAGGAGAAGAUAAAGUCGGUGAAGCAAGUUUAUUGGACUUCACCGGCUUCAUGCUACAGUGAUGAACAAUACAUGAAAAGUGCUAGAGCUGUAACCGAAGCCACGCCAAAUGCACCCUUAGAAUCUUAGCGUACAGGUAAUCUGACGAGAAACUGAUCCCUCGUCUACAGCCACAAGGCAAUCAGCUAAAUGCCUGUGAAAAUUGGCAAGUUUUGAGCAACACAUAUCCAUUGAAAUGGGAUAGAAAUUGAAAUAUAAACUCCAUUCCGCUUAUAUACCAGUGAUGACUGACGACUACCUCUUCUCCACACUCCAUUUUUAUGUACUUAAAAAAAUUGAAUGGAGGUUCUUCAAAAAGAAAUUGAAAUGCAGAAAAGAAUUUGAAUGAAGAAGUCUCAGACGAAAAUUUCUUUUUUUUUAGACGAAAAGUUUCUGCUACUGAAAAUCUUCAGCAAAUUCGAGUGCCGGAAAUUUGCGCAAGAUUUGAGCAACACUGGCGAUCUAAUCGACCGUCCUGAUCAAAUGUUCGUGGAAAAGGGAAGAAAUAAAAAUUUCUUCACCUAGAGAUAUUAGAUCCAGAGGAUCGAACUACACCGAAUUUAUCUCCACAAAGGGUACACCAAAAGAAUUGAAUUCCGAGAUCAGGUGCCAUUAUGCAGCUCAAGAAGAGAUACUACAUCCUGAAAAUUGGAAUGCACAAUGACUUGCUUUGCCACACGGCAAAAUUCGAAGCAUUUUCGCACAAAAAUGCAUCCACUGGCUACAACGAGUAGGAUCCUCGAUCUUCGUCUUCCUCUUUACACCGCGCACGCACACAUACACCUGACACCUGUUACUUCCCCGACAAUGGCCAACAUCCAGGAGGCGAAAGAGCAAGAACGACGACGCACGCACGCAGUUGAGGUGAGGCUAGCUACUAGCUCAGUGGCAGAGCGGCGAGAGAUCCCAGAGCGGGUCGCAGGCGGAGGCGUCGAGCACCCGGUCGAAAUACUCCUGCAGGCCGUUCAUGGCGUACAGCGACGCCGAGAUGCGCCGCUCCACCUUGAUCCGCUCGAACUCCGCCAUUUCGCCCGGCGCCGCGGUGGCGACCGGCUCCUCUUCCACGGGUGCGGCUGGGACGGCGGUGUCGACAGCGGCGAAGCUGUCCAGAGCCGGGAACUGGCCGAACGCCGAGUCGAACAUCCAAGAAUCGAACUCUUCGGCGCCCACGGCGGCGAACUCCGGCCGGUACACCUCACUGGCGUCCAGCGCGCCGCCGCCGCCAUUUAGCACGGCGUCGUCGCAGCUGACUGCGCUGCUGGAGCUGCUGCUGCUGCUGCUAGAGCCACCACAAGCACUAUUCGUGCUAUUACUAUUAUUAUUGCUAUUGCUAUUGCUAUUGCUAUUGCUAUUGCUCGUGGUGGGAGCAGGGGAGAUCGCCGCCUUCUUCUUCGAGAUGGCGGCGGCGGCGGCCGAGGAGGAGCUCGCCGCGGCGGCCUUGGCCUUCUUGACCUUCUUGUGGUGGAGGAGGCCGCGGAUGCGGACGGCGAGCGGGCAGUCCGGGGAGAUGCGGGGCGCGAAGUUGGUGCGGGCUUCGUUGCCGCGGAGGAGGCGGGCGGCCUCGUCGUAGGCCUUGGCGGCGGCCUCGGCGGUCUCGAAGGUGCCGAGCCACAUGCGGAUCUUCUGCGUGGUGUCCUUGAUCUCGGCCACCCACCGCCCCGACGGCCGCUGCCGGACGCCGACGAACUUGCUGUGGUUGUUGCUGCCCUUCUUCCGGCCCCGCGGCUUGGACGGCUUGGCCUGCGCCGCCGCCUCCUGCUGGUAGUAGUAGUAGUAGUAGCUGCUGUAAUCCUCGAGCUGGAACCCUGAUGACUGUGGCUGGAAGUGGAGCUCCAUUGGAGGCUUUCUUGGUGUUCGAGCUGAUGGUUGGAGUGGUUGGAGGGGAGAGGAGGAAGACAGGUGUCGAUCUGCCGGGUGCUUGCUCUGCUUUGGUUUUGGUGGUGAGCAGCUGAGCACAAGGGGAGAGGAUUUAUAGAGGAUUUCAGGUCACUUGGCAAUGGAGCCCUGUGGGGUUACUGUCAUGGGCUGGUCAAAUGCUGGUCUGCCUAUGAUCAUGUGAAGUGAGUGUUUGGGGGAUAAGGCAUCUUGUUGGGUUCUUUUUGUCCUUUCAGUUUGUUUUUCGGCUUUGCCCUUAUGCAUUGUCACUGAGCAAACAAAGCUAAGCUGGUGUUCUUUCCAUGAUUAUUUUUUUUAACUAAGUUUGUGCUAUUGCUGGAUCAACAAAUCGGUGAGCUUGCAGCCUUAGUGCAUCACCACUCACCACUAUUUGACCUUUUGGCAUUUUCUUUCAUUACUAUAUAUCAUAAGAAAGAUAAUCAUUUUACUUUUGACUCAGUACAGUGGAAAUUCCUUUUUCAAUGUCUCAAAGGGUUCAUGCCUGCAGGCUGCAGGCAGCAAGCACACUAGAGUUCAGCAAGUACAUGCUCCCCACUACAAUGCCAAGCACCGAGUAAAACUUGGAAGCAGGGGUCAGAGGGUCUACUUCAUCUAGUAACUUAAAUUACCAUGUCUACACCUGCAUGCAUUACCUUAACCGAAAUUUUUAGGACACUGAUUGGACUAGUUCUUCCAUAAUUCGCGGUUAUCCCUCUGGUCAAGCUACUUACAUGAGACCGGGUCCGAAUUGCACCAUAACCCGCCACAUGGCAGCAUUAGAGAGAAUGGCGACGAGCAAUUAGGAUACAAAGUAGAAACGGCUAAACAUCACCUUUUCAUCGACCACGCCCACUUGUGCUUUGUUUAUCUUGUUUCUUGACAAAAGCUGCUAUCAACCAAGUCUUUCUCGUCACUGGAUGAUGUACUCGUCCUUAGCUAGUUCAAUUUUGGGCGCCCAUGAGUUUUUGAAAGAAUCUUUGCACAGAUAGCAUAUGAAUAUCAUACAAAACAGCAGCCCGAAUUGUUUUCCGCAGUAAUAAAAUGCUUACUACCAAGCAUUAGUACUUGAACACAUCACAAAGAAAGUGUUACUUUGACAUGGACACGAGUGCCGGAAUCCGACUUCCGACUAGGGUUCGAUUCUUCGACUAGGAAAAACUUUAUUGAAAAUAGAUAAUAGUUAUUGUCUCUUCGGAGACGUCCAACAAAAUUACCGGGCGUAUGAAUGAGUACCGGAGUCCAACUCGGAUUUGUGAAUUGGCAUGGGAGUUGAGUAACACACACAAGAUUCUAGAUCCAGAUAUAUGAUAGCAGUUUUUCACUUUUUUGGAAGUUCCCUUUGACAUGGAAGUUGAGCUAACAGUUGACCACCCGUUCAGGCCUUCUUUUUGCAGAAUGAGCACUUGAGGAGUUCAAGGUAACAAUACGUCAAUAACUGGAGUGUUAGCGUUAUGAUUUUUACACUAGGAGACAAAUCUAAACCCUGAAGCAUCUUUGCUUUACCUUUGAGAAUAGCAACAAUUCUCUAGCCGGUUGAAACUGAAGCAAGCAUGAUGGCAAAGGCUUUCUUGAUCUCUCGGAACUAAAGAGACGGCACUGCUAGUUUAAUGAAACAGGUCUUCUCUUUGCAUACCACAAUGUACUGUUAGGAUUAACAAAGCUACAUUCCUUGGUAAGCAACGGGCAUAUUUUCCCUUCAUAACUUGAGAAAAGGUCAUCGUCAUGACUCAUGAACACGGACCCCUUCAACUCCAAAGGCUUGCCUACCUCACCUAUCAAAAAGGCAAACUUUGUCAAAUUGUGGCGCGUCAUUCCACCAAAUAAACUAUGUUCAGCUUGCUGAUUGAGCAAUAGGAUAGAGCACCCACAUUGGCCAUAGUUUUAUAGUCAGGAUGACUCCAAGAAGGCUAUGGCUCGUAACCUCUUGUUUCGUAGCAUGGCAGAUGCCCUGUUUGUCGCUGUCAAGGUGCAUUUCUUUGUCGAGCUCGGUGGGGCUACCUGCGCCAACAUGACAAGAGACCACUUUUUGGGCAGCAGCAAGGUCAAGAAAGAUGGCAUCUUGGCAUCGGUCCCGGGGGUUGGUUUCAGAUUUGUCUUUGUGUGAUGGAGCCGCCAUGGAGCAGGAGGAGAUGGACAUAUUCCAGCCGUGUUUUGGGAGGUAACCCUCUCGCGACCAAUUCUAGCUCAUUGCUGACGUCAAAACUUUUCGCAGCGAAGAUUAUCUGAAAGCUACCUUUGGAAUUUUUUGCCAUUGGUUCCUUUACGGUGACGAAUGCACCUGCUAUGUGGUUGUGUACUUCUAUUGAUUUGUUGAGAAGAAAACCCAAACAAGGACUAUCUGGCUAUAGGGAGCUGGGACGAUAAACAAAAGCAGCAUCGUAAUGCAUGCUCCUUCAAAUCUAGAAAGAACAUGAUACGGCUGCAUAUAUCUAAAACGAUUUCGGUUGGGGCUGCCAUUUCCAGCUCCCCAGCCGUCGGGAAUCUUCAAUUCCGCCGCAGAUUUCUCGAUGCCACUCGUAUGAAGACAAGGCCGCCAUGCACAUGUGCGGGCAUAUCAACGUUCAACGGAUAGAAUCGUGAAGUUAUUUUUCUUUCAACACAUGUUAAGGUAGCAAAUUUCAGAAGCCACACAAAAGGUAAAGCCACGUUCGAACUAUCAUCUGUUCGUAGUGGCUUUUUAACUCGAUGCCAUGCUCGACGGCUUUAACACAAGCUGGUAAACGUUUCGUUUUUCUCAAUUACUAACCACGGAGCAUGCACAACUUCAGCAUUUCCAAACUGGGCAUAUCUCAAAAGUUUGCAAGAAAAAAUUGGCAAAUAAAAUGACUACAAUUAACGGGCAUCAAAGCGAUGCAGAAGGCAAUCUCACUCAAAGUACAAUGAUCUCAUUACCAAAACUGAUGCAGCAUAGGUCCAACCCAACCGACAACAAACCUCACCAUUUCCCUUACACCUCUGUUGCCAGCACGUCUCAAAACCAUAUUUUGAGUACAUGACAAUAUACACUCUACAUCAAAACCAUGUAUGCAACUUCCAAUUCCUCCAAGCGACCGAUGCAUUCACAAAUUACCCCACCCAGAAAAAGAUUCAACACAAAAGAAUUGCCUGACAGUAACAAUGAUGAAAUAUCAAGAAGAAGAAAAAAUGCAGCCCGGACCUUGCAGCGGCAAAAAACAACUAUGUCGAUAAGAUGGACUGUAGCAGGAGCUGCUGCUGCGGUUGCAAGUUGGAAAAUGUUGACGCGAGAAAAUCUGGAGGUAAAGUCUGCUGGAAUCGCCUCAAGAUAUUGACCAUCUUGUUUUUUGUUUCAUCUGUAGCAAGCUCUGUCCCAGGGCACAAAACCUGCAGAUUGUACAAGGACAAUCAAUGAGUUCAUCCAUAACAGUUAAGUCAAACAUAGUUAUCGCUACAAAUUUACAACCCUACCAAAUUAGAGUACACAUAAAAAAAUUACCUCUGCAAAUAUUGAAAUAAUUUUCAGAAGAUACUGAUUCUGAGGGCCAAGAAUUUCUCCAUCCGACCUGCAAGCAGAAAUGGUUAUUAUAAACCGCAAAUGGGAUCCACCUUAGUUGGCAGAUUUCCAGUCAAGAACAUACCUCUCCACCAUUGAGCAAAGUUGCUCAUGUACAACUUUAGCUUCAAUCUUAUCAUCUUUUAUAGGCAAGCAACUAAGCCAUGCUGGAAUAACCUGAGAAGACUGUAUAGGUCAGUUUCGAAAAGUAUCAUCCACAAGCACAAAUAACUAUCCCCUGGCAAAGCUACAAGUGCAAAAUUAGGCUUCAGACACCACGCAGUACAGUUAGAAGCUGAGAGGUGUUCAGUUUGAGGAAUGGGUGGUCCAUCAGACCAUAACCUUCUCACUCCUCACAUUUUUGUUUGGUUUGGGAAAUAGGAUGAGUUGAUCCAUCACCACCUCAUCCCAACAAGCACAUGGUUAACUUAAUAAUGAAGAAUUGGCUUAACCCACCAAAAUUCAUGGGAUGACUCCAUAGACCAUUCCAUCCUAGACGAGGAGACUCCUCAAACCAAACACCCUAUUAGGGUUUCAGUGUGUCCCUUGCUCCUCACUCUCAGUGUCCACGCUCUCAGUCUCAGUGCGGUGAGAAGAAAGGAGAAAAAGGGUUGACCCUUUUCAGGAAUGAAAGAGUUACAAUCAGCACCGUCUUAAGAUUUUCAAUUCCAGAUUUCAGGCUUCACGCUGCUAAGCCAGCCUAGUACUGUGCCUCAGCCUCCAAGAGCAGGUACACCUUCCUAUUACCCCCCCUCCUUCCCACAUGAACUACUGCCUACGGCACACCGAGCAAUUUCUGGAAACAUGCCGUCACAAUCGGUAGGCAAUAGAUACAACCUCCAAAUAUUCAUCCAUUACCAACAACUAAGCCCUUGUCUCUAGCAAGUUGGGGUAAGCACAUAACAAGAAAAUGUUGGCCAUAUCAUCAGAGGAAAAAAAAGACAUUGAGAAUAGAGCAUAUACCUGGGCCGCGUCAAUGCCAUCCCGAUGAAAUUGACAUAUUUUUCCAAGUGCCGAAACAGCAUUGUCAUAGGCCAUAAUAUUGUCUGGAAGUCGUGCUUCAGGAUGUCGGAUAACAUUGUUUAACUUUGAUAGGGCCUCUGAAUUCAGAAGCAUAACAUGGUUGGAUUAGUUGUAGAAUGUUGAAAAAAAAGCAAAACAUGUAAAUACUGGAAAUAUAAAGAAACUACCUCCAACUAGAGGGCGAAAAACAUGACCACCAAACUCAGCACAUACACCCACACCAUAGACAGCAGCCUAAAUGAAGAGGUCCAGCAUUAUAUCAGUGUCCAAUGAGACCGAGUAAAACGGGAGAAUGGGUCAAGGGAACAUGAUAGAACAAAAAACAGACCUGCCGGACAUCUGAAUUUUCAUCGUUUGCUGCCUCCAAAAGGAAAGGAAGGUAUGUAUCAUAAUACCUCAAAGCUGAUUCACGGCAUUGCUCCGCAACAUCAUCAAAGAUACAGAUAGCUAUCCUUCUCUCCUCGGGUGUUUUAUCUUUUCCCUGCGAAUCAAAACAUAGGGUACCAAAAUAAGUAGGAAUAAAACAUCAAACUGAAAAAAAAGGUUGGAGCAUAACACUGCACAACAGGAAUAAGCAUGAAAAAACAUGCCAAUAACUAAUGAGAAGAAACCCAUUCGAUUCAUGUACAUAAACUAGCAUGCAGUAACUGAAUGCUCAAUAAAUAACAAUAGAGAGCUCACACAAAUAAACAAUCAGGUCAGGGUUCAGUUAGCUUACCAACAUUGGCGUAAUGUACACAGAGAGCUCAUCAAAGAACGGCAAGAAAGAAGCUUUGAAGGUUUUAAUCAAAGUACCAAGGCACUCGCUGACCUGAAAGUUUAAAUAUGUUAAAAGAAAAUUAAUAGGUAAAUCAUUUAACAUAACAUGCCAAAGACAGUUUUCUCAGUAUGACAAAACAGAUAAAACUUCAAAUCAUUUCAAAACAAACAAACCUGAUCAAAUACUUCCUCCUCCUGUUCAUUCUCUUCUUUGAGUAGCUCUCCUUCAUCAGCAUCAAAAUCUUCCGCUUUUGUUCUUUCUGUACGUUCCCUUUUCCUGGUUGCGCUGGCUAUAAUGACAUUUUUAAUCUCAUCCGAAAUAGCUCGUACUUGGGUUUCAUCGAGCAAACGACCAGAAAGCUGCUCAUGAGUAAGAUCAAUGGAAAAUUGAGUCAUAAAUAAACCAUUCAAGAAAAUAGAAUAUUUAAAAACCCAUGCGAAGAGAAACCAACAGAACUAUAACACAUAUUCUUUCACCCACUGAACAUAGUGAAAUGAUCCCUUUCUUGUCUUUUUGUGGUUAUAAAGUGAUAAUCACGGGCAAGCACAUGUUCACAUAUGCAGAUGCACAGAUUUCAGAAUUGUAAAAGGAGCAAAUCUGCGAGCACAACUUUCAGAUAAAAUCUGCGUGCACUUUAUAAGUUUCAUUCUAACUAGACAACUUUCAGAUAAAAUAUGCUAAGAUAUACUUAUUUGAUAACAUAGGGGUAGGUUAGGAAAAAAAGGUGAGGUCCUAAAUAUACAAGUGAAGCUUUAGGAAGAAUCUCAAUCAUGGAUUCAAAUUAUGAAGCAUAGAUGGUGUAAAUGCACAAACCUGCAUGCACUCAUUUAAUGAGUCCAGCAUGGAUGAGCACAUUUCUGUUUCUGGCUCCUGCACAAAGGACGCAAAAAGUUCAGGUGUCAGCAUGGGUAAAAGAAAUAAUAAUUCAACUACUGAGAUAUCUUUAAAUAGACCUUGUGAAGUGCUUCAACAAGAGCUGGAAUUACGUAGUCAGACAACUGUUUAACAUAAGACUCGUCACGGCCUUGAGCCUGUCCUUUCUCAACAGCCAACUUUGCCGAACGUAAGAGUUCCGGCAUUGCUGCACAGAUGUUCAGAAUUGUAAAAGGAACAAAUCUGCAAGCACAAAUAAAUCAUAGUGUAACAUGAAAAUACCCGCAACAGCAGCUCUUCUGACUUCUUCAUGGAAGUAAAACUUCAGCAGAGGGACCAACGUGGGGGCAACCUACACGUAAAUUUGUAUCCAAUGAUAUAUGCUGGAAAGGGGCAGCUGAAACUUGAAAGAAUUAGAUAUUGGAUAUGUUUAGUGCAAUAAUGAACCUGAUCAAUCCAUGGGAAGAAACCCUCCUUAAGCUCAUCAGCAUAACAGCACAGCAUGUUGCAAGCUGUUGCUUUCUCUUCCAGCACACUAGUUCGGAUUCCUAUUCUCUUGUCACCAAGUGUGAUUGUUUCAAUGCUGUAUAAAACACAAAUUAAGGGUAAGGGUAAGUGUAAAAAAAAUCAUACAAAGUUAAAAGUAGGAUGCUCUCCUUGUGUCAGCAGAAAGGUGAAUGAAUAGCAAAAGCUUGGCAUCAUCAAUGAAAAAAACCAAAACACAUGAAAAAACUCCAUAAAUGACAGUGUAAAUGUUCUACCGACUAUAGGCACAGUAAAUCUAAAAGCUUGUGUACGGUUCAUAUCAUUUCAUACUGCAAAUAAGUUUAAAAUUAGAAUGCUAAACUGAUGAUUUUGCAGCUUAAAACGAAUUUCUUCUAAAUUUUCUCCUUUGUACAUUCUCCUGGAUACUUCAGAUACGGGCAUAUAAAAAGUCAUUUAAACAAAAAAUUGUACAUUCUCCAGGAUACUUCAGAUACGGGCAUAUAAAAAGUCAUUUAAACAAAAAGACAAGCAUCAACCAUGGAAUUAAAAAGAUUCCAUAUUUGCAACUGUACAAGAGCGAGAAAGGUAUAGAUAUUUCUAAGUGGAAAUAGUCCAACAUAGUUGUCAGGUUUGCUAACCUAAAUCUCUAAUAAAGUAGAUAAAACAUUGCAACAGAAUGAUAACAGACCUAUCGUCAUCUGAUUCUAUUUCGUCAUCUGAUUCGGCUGAAGUAAUUGUCACAUCGGGCUUCAGCUGAGCAGACUGAAGCAAUGGUGGCAUAACAACACUCAUGUAAGGAAGGAAAUCCUGCCCAAGACAUUUGCAUAGCCUGGCCCAAGCCUAUCACAUGUGGUGGUAAGUGUUAGAUAUAUAUUUGAAGUGUUGUUAAGCCUAGUUUCAGAUGCUUUGAAACAUACCUGCAACAUGUAGCUGGUAAUUGGAUCAUCAGUUUCCAUUGGUGUUCCUUGCAAAGCCAUAAGUACUUCCAUAACCUAGUAAAGGGCAGAUGAUUAGAAUAAUAACACUUCCUCAAUUAAAUAAAAUAUUACAGCUGAUUGCACAUUUAGACUUAAAAGUGCAAGAAGAAGAAAUGACAGCCAUAAAUAAUGAUUUUAAUAAACAGAAAUAGACAUAAUUUUUCUGAAUUCCGAUAAAUUAGCAGGAAAAGCUUGAACAGUGAAACGGUUCAAGAAUACGAACAGUGGUUACAGAUCAAUCACAAAUUAUUUGCAACAAAAUAGAAGUACAUAAUUUGCAAGCUGGAACAUAACAUUACAAGUGAAAGAAAAGGCUAACCUGCCUCGCGUCGUCUCUGAACUUGUCCUUACCCACAGCCAUUCCUACCAAACUAAUACACUCCAUGGACUUGGCACGGAGCAUCCUAUUAGACUUGUCAGUUGCAUUCAUCAAAAUAGCUUUUAGGUAUGGCAUGACAGCAUCAUAGUAUUUCUUGAAGUGCUCCUGCAAGGCAAACAAACAAAAAGUUAUCAUAAUGCUAUCAGCUUGUUAUCAACAGCAGGCAAGACAGCACUAAAACAAUUUGUUAUAAUUGGUCAGCUAUAAAAAAGUUAGUCAAAUGCUAUAAAUUUGUUAAUAGGUGCUUCUGCCACUCAGGAGCAGACAAAUAAAAAGUUUAGUCAAAUGCUAUAAAAUUGUUAUCAUUACCAAGCUAUACAGCACUAAAACAAUGAGACAACCCCAUGAUACAUGUGAUACAUGACGACAGAAAUCCAUUAUGCACAUAACAAAAAAAAAUGUAUCUAUGCACUCCCAGGCGAACAGUUACCUGUGAUGAAUCUGCCACUGAAGCUAGGGCUGUCAAUGCUCCCUCUUGCACCAUUUGCUUGCCAUUCUAGAAAUAACAUGAGAAGUUAGCAUGUUUACUACCCAGAAUAACGAAUAUGCACAAAGCAAAACUGAAAUGUAAAUCAAUACAAGUAAACAUAUACCUGAAGAAGGACAAGUAAUUUGUUGACGAUUCCAUCCAGGUAAGGUGUCAAAAUUUCCGGUGUACAGUUCUCACUGAAGUUCAGGAUCGCAGAUGCAGCAUGUGCCUGUCAACAAGAAGAUUCAUACAGGAAGUCAAUAUAGGUUGCUUUUUCCUAAGAUGCAUGACAUAAUAGAUGCACAUGACUUCUGAUUGAGAAUAGAGACAUAAAGAGUUGCGUAGACUUAGCAUCUCAAUAAACGCAAAACACUUCAACAGCGUUCAAUUCAAGAGUCUUAGUUUUCAAAAAGAAAUGAUAAAAAAGUCAAAGUUAAUCAAGCAUCUACAAAAUGCUACCUUCUAGUAACAUUUACUUGUAAUGGUGAUGAUGGACUUACUAACUUGCCAGGUGAUUAAAUUACUAUUUAUUAAAGAAAAUUAUUAGCUUGAAGCUAAAUAGAACUUCGUUUUUAGACAUUCAUGUGUUAACUGCCCACAACUAUUUACAAAGUUUUGUUUCAGUAUGCACGAACAAUAACUUUCUUGAUCCACAUCAAGCCAAUUGAUGCAACAUUAAUUCUAGAAUAAGCAUUAACAAGUUGAAGAUAUGAGAUCAAGUUUUGCUAAAAUAAUAGAACUAACCUGAACUCGUGGGUUCUGGAAAUCAUCCAUAGCGUUCGCCAAUGCAGGCAACACUUUCUGGUGGUAAUGAACUUGCAAGUCUGGGCCCAAAUCCGUAGAGAGCUGACCAAUGGCAUUGAUUGCAGCCCAUCUCACACGUGGGUGAGGAUGUUGGAACCCAUUCAAUAUCAUCGAGACAACUUGUUCCAAAUUUUUAAGCAUAACCUGCCAGCAAAAACAGCAACCAAUGAUAAGAUGGCCUUGUCCAGCUAUUUUCCUAAACAUGAAAUCGAGAACAGAUAGCAUAAUGUGGUUUAAUAGUAGCCAACAGCUCUUAUAGAUUUGGCAAUUUAGUAUUUGUCACCGCUUCUACAUGUAGUGUUCAUUAUCCCAUUUUCCCAAUUCCUAAUUCAACAUGUCAGCUCAAGAAAUCCAUUUUACCUAUCCAAAACAGCAACAAUAAAUAUCUUUUGAGUUGAACAACAGAUUGCUGUAUACUAGCCAUACUUAUAAAGUUAUCAUGCUAACCUUUGCACAUCCUUCCGCAAUCUGUGCGAGUGUUAUGAGCGCAGCAUGGUGCUUCUGCCACUCAGGAGCAGACAGGUACUGUGGAAGCAGCUCAGAUGCAAUUGGCACAAUUGCAUUUCCACCAAUGGCGAUGGCAAGGCGGUCAAGGCACUCCUGUGCCACUCCAUAGUUGUUCCCUUCACCUGCAUCCUCAUCUUCGGUUUCAGCAGAGUGCCAAGCAGGGUCAUCCUCGACAUCAAGCAGCAUCUGCAUUAGCACUGCAAACAGCCUGCCGACAAACUGCGGGAGUCGACGCAUCAUUCCCGGUGCACGCUCCCUUGCCUCAGCAAGAGUAAUGACAAACUCAACCGCCAAGUGCCUGGUCCCAUCUUCCAGCUGUGCAGCCUCAGCAACUUGUAGCAUUGCUCCCACCACGUCCGCAAUCUGCCUCCGUAGGAACCUUGGCUCUGCGCCAGCCAGCUCAACGAGCAGCUCCAGCGCCUCCUGCGCCGAGGCCUCCUGGCCAGAGUUCAGGCAAUCCGUGAGCGCCCUCAUCAUAGCCGGGAGCAAAUCCUGCAUCUUAUCCCGAUCGGCGUUGGUUGGCAGGCACUGGACGAGGUUGACUGCGGCACCCAGGGCCGCAAUACGCACAUCAGGGGAUGUGGGGUGCGCCAGAGCGGCGGCGAGCAGGUUGUGGAUAGUCAUCAGAUGGUCGAGGAGCGAUUCAGCGAUGUAAUCCGCCAGCCUCGCGAAGAUAAGCAGCGCCGACUCCUGAAGGUUGGGCGCCUCGGGCCCCGACGCGGCGCGGAAGAGGAAGGGCAGCAGCUCGGCCCAGGCGUUCUCGGGCAGCAGCGAGGCAGCGAGCUCGGAGAUGGCAUCGCAGACCUUCUUGGCGAUGGGCUUGGGGGGAUCGGACUGGAGCGCGGAGAGGAGGUGCGCCUUGAGCGCGGACUGGCCGGCGAGGGAGAGCUGCGGCCAGAGCGGCGCCGGGGGCGAGGCGUUGUUGGCGGACGCGUCGGAGGACGGGGUCGGGGAGAGGACCUUGCGGAGCAGGACCCCCGCCAUGGCGCGGAGGUCGGCGGCGGUGGCGGGCGACGCGAGCGAUGAGGCGAGCCGCAGCGCGAGGGGCUCCGGGUGGGAGGCCCGGAGGCGGUGGAAGGCGGCCUCGGCGGCGGAGCGGUCGGUGUUGGAGGACGACAUGAGGGUCGACAGCAGCCCGUCGAACGCCGCCGGGUCGCCCCCCAGCAGCGCGGCGGCCGCGGCCUGGUCCUCGGCGGACGCCAUCGGAUCGGGGUCGAAUCCGGGGCGCGCGGCGGCGGCUAGGGUUUGAGGGGGGAUAGGGGUCGAGCCGGUGGUGGCGGCGGCGGCGGGAAGGGGAGGAGGGUGGUGGAGAGAGAAUUAGAGACACGGCCUCGGGUUGGGUUUAAUAUUAUAUGGGUAGGGUUUGGGAGAUGCGUGCGGCUCGCUCGUCGCGGGCGGGCGCGGCGGGGAGAGGCCAGGCGACCUGGUGGCUGGUGCGUUUGGGGUGGGUGACUGGGUGGGGCAACCGCCGCGACGCGAGAUGAGAACGAGACGAGAGCAGCGCGCUCGCCGUGUGGUUUGGUUGCAGGCCGCCGGGGUCGGGUCCGGCUUGGCGGGGUUCGGGCACCGCACGACGGUUUCGCGGGAUUCCCUUGUCCCCGUCAGCUUUUCCAUCGUCCCCCGUGGAUUUUCGCAUCGACUCGCCGAUUUCUGCGUCCGCCGAAACCGACCGCUCGGCUCGUCUCGGUUCGGCACCCGCUCGUGCCCCUAUGGCAUCCGCCGCUUCGCCGAUGCUUCCUUUUCCCUGCCGCGCCGCGUCUUUUCGGCGAGCGGGCACGGGGGGUUCUGGGUUUUACAGCUGGGGGGUGUGAGCUGGGCGCGUGGAUGGAAUGGAUGGACAGGAGAAGGUGGUGACGCCCAUGGAGGGCCAUGAUUGGGCAUUGAUGGGUACAGGCAGCCGGCCGGGCGCCAUCUUCCCCGCGUCAUCAUUGAUGCACGGCUCAGGGGAACAGCAGCGGCCCAACAGGGCUCGUGCAAGCUGCUGGCAAUCUUGUGGGUUGACUGAUUUCCGGUACGAAGAGUGGGAAUGUUUUGGUUAGCUAUCAAUGGUGUGUAGCACGUAGUACAAUAGUUACGUGUGCAUCACCGUAUCAAUGCAAAACAAGUGGUGAACAUACGGUGAUUGAGAUCCCGUGUGUUCAUUCCCAGGGAUUAUGAUUUCGUUUUUUGAAUUUUUUCGGUCCUCAAUAAAAACACCAAAUUUCACGAAUUCCAGCUGAAAUUUGGACUAAAAAGGUAAAUCUUUCAACGAAGAGAACAAAAUUCCGGGCAAACAGUUAUUUCAGUCACCAUCGAAAAGACCAAAAUUUCACGAAUUUCAACCGAAAAUUCACGAAUUUCGAUCGAAAAUCUACGAAUUUCAACCAAAAUUUUGAACCAUGUUCAUUCCAUUCCUUUUCGAUAGAGGUGUUGUUUGCUCCAUAAAUUGCGACGCAAAAGCAAGCAUACCCCGUAAAAGUUAUUAAAGUAAUGAGAAUUUGGCAUGACGUCAACAAAGUAACGAGAAACUGACGUAACAUUAAGCCGUUUACAAAAUAACGGAAACCGACAUGGCGUUAUGCUUUUAACGAAGCAGACAGAAACCGACGUAGCGUUAAACCGUUAACAAACAAACAGAAAAACUGGCAUGGCGUUAUGUCGUUAGCAAAGUAACAAGAAACUGACAUUGCGUUAGGCCACCGACAUUGUUCGGUUCCCAAGAAUAACGGAAAUGGAAAGUGGGAAGCUUCCACUAAAGGAGAAGACGACACAUAGAAAGAGGAAGGUUGUUGUACGCAGUGGAGCUGCAUCUUCUGACGUGUCGUAGCUAUCGUCAUCGACGGCUAUCACGCAUUAUGUAUCACUUCUGCUUUGGCGGUAUCAUUUAGCAUCCGUGGUAAUCUGUAGAAUGUAAGUUCCGUCAAACUACCACCAAGCAAAUUACACAUGCUACCCUCAAGGUAAACCAACUUGCCCUCUUUAGCCUCCUCGUAGCCUCGAUGAGUUCCAUUUCCCUAUUGCAUGCGGAUGCUGGUAAGCAUCACACAUCAUAACUACAAAAGCUUUCUAUGAAACCUAAUUCACCGGCGCCACGUUCUUGCACUAGUUGAAUAUUUCAUAUUAAGAUCGCAAGAUAUACAUUGGCUUGGAGGGAUUCACAUAUUAAACGGCUAGGCAAUGCAAUCUAAUUACAUUAUAAAAAAAUGUGACCAAACAUUAUCGUAAGUUAACCGUCAUGAUCAGAUUUGGCCUAGACGCGCCCCCUCCCCGAGGGUUUCUGAGCCGCCGCUGCCGUCGCAACCUCCCUCACCUCCACCACCGCUGGUCCCCCUCCCUUCCCACCUCCGUCAUCUCGCCAGAGGUCGGAGGGAGUGGGGAUCCAUCUCUCUAAUAGUUUUCUUAGUAGAUCGAGUUCAGUUUAGGGUUUAGGUUUCUCCAUGCUGAAUUUCUCGAUAUUGAAGAUUUGUUACCUCCUUCUCCUUUCCGUCAACGGCGAGGAGGUAGGGUGGAUUUGGUCUCUCCAUAGCGACUCCGAUGAAGAUGAUGGCGGCAACUACGACGUCACCAACUUCCUUGGCAUGACGACAUGGAGAAUUAGGUUUCUGGAUGGCGACAUCAAGGCGGGGAUGAUGUUACCAUUGUGGAAUAAUUUUCUCAGCCCCUUCUCCGUUUUCUUAUGGUUAGACCUAGCCACGAUGAAGGACUUGUGAGAAUAAAUCUGCUCCUCGAGCCGAUUAUAUUUGGUUUUGAGUUGGGAAGAUCAGGUGGUUUUCCUUAUUCUUCGGUGGCAGAAGGAAAAAUAAGGAAGACACAAGAAAAAAAAAGAUUAUACUCAAUUUCGCCUACAGGAAUGUUGGUCGCCAUUCUUUGGGCACCUAUUCUCAGCCUGUUUGCUGAGUGUUUACCUGUGGGGUUAUCCAUAUGGAUCUUCAUAUAUGUUUGGAAUUGAGAUUUAGAGCUAUAUGUUGCAUAAUUACCAUAGAGAUGAAGAGCAGUUUUAUGGGUACACUUGUAAUCUUUGUAUUCGAGAGUGCUUGUAACGUUAGGAUGUACUCAGCUACAAUUUAAUAUAAUUUUUCUUUCACCUAAAAAAACAUUAUCGUAAGUUGAUUGAAAUUUGGGCACAAAUGUCCAAUGUGUGUUACCAACCGCAUAUGUGCAAACCGAAAUCUGUCUCAUUCACUAUGAUGAAUCAUUGACCCCGUUCUUGCGUUCUUCAAGCUCUCAACUUGUCCUUCUCAGAGAAUUGAGGGGGCUUUGAAUCAACUUAAGAAAAGAGUAGUCUAAAAUAUGUUUGCUUCUCUCAACACUGGAGUCUUAACUUUUAAAUCUCAAGAUUAAUAUGUCCAUUUGCAUGUUGAGAUAUAACACACUUUGAAGUCUCGAUAAAUCAUUAUUCAGUUUUGCAACUUAAAUAGCUCGAAUCAUGCCAACCUAUCUAUCAACCACUGAGAUGGGCCUCCUCAAACAGGAAAAUGAAAAAUAUGAUGCUAGCUAGUUUGAUUAUCGCGUUCCAAUGUCCCUUUCCAAUAAAGAGGUCUUUGGUUUGGAAAAUGAGAUUAUCCAUCAAACUUGGUCAAAGUUAGACGAUUUUUACUUGAGACAAAGCUAGACUAACCAAUAAUUUGAAAAAUACAUUUUUGAAACCAGUUUUAUUGAAAAGCAUAACACACCCAACUAGUUUUUACUGAAAAUUCCCCUGGAAAAUAACAUAAUGGUCAAACAUAAAACACCCACUAGUUCCUUGACUCAAUCCACUGUUCAUCCCACUGGAUUCACUAAAAACGCCUGCAACAUAUUCCAGCUGGUCUGAAAUCAAGCUGGGUUCAGGUCCAGAUUUGAACCAGAGCUCGGUUGGAUUUUCGCCUACGUGCAAAGGCGAUCUCGUGGCAACAGACCACUCAAUCGAAAGCUCCAAACACUGGAAUACGUCCGAUACGCAUAGCUCCUUAAUUACAAAAUCACUGUCAUUCUGUCAAUAUAUAUAUAGCAUAACGUAGGGGUAGAUGCGGCGGUGAGCCUCGUACACCUAGUGAACAAAUCUGGUUAGCUUGCCAGCCCUUGGAUCCCUCUUGUCCACGUAUUGGUGUCCCCAGCUGAAAAUGUGAAAAGCAUCACAUGUCACACUCAUACCAAUAAAAAGCUCCAUUCUUCAAGCCAAGCAGCCAGCCAACCAAGUGAUAAUGCAUAAUUUUCCACAAUGAAGGGCAUAAACAUUCCCCCAAACAAAUAAUUGACACAAACAAACAAGCAUAUCGGCACUCCCCUGAGGUACAAAACAAUUCAAACGUUGCAUCAGCACUCGAGUUCUUUAAUCACAUCGAGCUACAAGCAAUGGAGCUGCUAAUAGCUGGAUGGGCCCACACAUAAAGCCGGCUUUCAAGGUGCACAAACUCCACUUAACAAGAUAACAUGCCGUCCACUUCACUUAAAUAUAUGAACAAAAGAACAAACAAAUGGUGUUAUCUCCCCAACAUCGACACGAGAACGGAACAAACUGUAUGAUCAGCACUCACACUUCAGUUUUUUUUAAAGAUAAUUUGACACGUAGGAUGUGAUAUAGUAUGAUGAAUAGUUGGCCAACAAUUGUCAAAGCUUCGCUUGCCGGGUCGUUACUGGACCGCGUUGCACAUCCCGGGGCGUGUCCGGCACCAGAGCGGCUGGAUGGGCUCGGCCCGGACCCCUCUCCCCACCAUGCGGUUGCGCCAGUCGGUGAGCCGGUCCGUCGCCUCGGCGUACCUCUUCCUGCCGGAGGCGUCGCGGUUGCCGGACCAGAGCGCCUCCGCCAUGGCCGAGGUCCUGGGCCAGACCCGGCCGUCCAGCACCGUCGCGUCGACCUGCUCCGUCCACAUCGCCACCUCGCCGCCGAUCACCAGCCGGGCCUCCUCGGGGGUGAGCCCGUACGCGAUGUCGUAGUCGUAGACCCGCUGCCACGUCUUGUAGGGCCCGCACCAGGACCCGCCGCUGCUGUUGAAGUCGCUGUUGGGGUCGUCGUAGAUGCUGUUGUUGCCGAGGAAGUCGCCGUGGCCGCAGUCGAGGUAGUAGAAGGACGCCGAGGAGACGAUGGCGCGGUACCCGGCCCGCACGAUGAGCUUCGUGUUGUUGGGCCCGUUGUUCCACGUCUGCAGGAUGGUCGUCGCCGGCGGGAUCGCCGACGCGCUCACGUUCACGGCCGCGUCCAGCAGCACGUCCUCCCAGUACACGGCCGUGCGGUUCCGGGACACCACGAGAGGGUGCACCGCGCUGACGUAGCGCUCCAGGAGCUGGCUCAGCGUGGCGCCCCGAUCCAGGUCGGCCUGGAUGGUGGGGUCCGCGUGCCAGCAGCCCGGGGUGACCUCGUCGGCGCCGGCGUGGUAGAAGCCGUCCGGGAAGAGGGAGGUCAGGUCGUUGACGACGUUGGUGAUGACCUCGUACGUCUUGGGCGCCAGCGGGUUGAGCUGCCCGGCGCCCGGCUCCGCCGCGAGACGGUUGUUCCAGUCGCCGCCGGGAAGCCAGAACUUGCCCGCGCAGGACACGGCCUCCGGGUACGCGCCGGCCCACGACGCCGUGUGGCCUAACAACAAUAAUGUCGAGAGGUUAAUUAAUUGGGCCGUAGAAACCAAAAUCCAUGUAAUAGAGUAACUGGGCCGCAGAAAGCAAAGCCCACAAAACAGAGGCAGCAGGAAAAGACGGAGCAGAGGAAGCUGGAAAACGAGCAGCGCCCACGGCUUACCCGGCGAGUCUAUCUCCGGCACGACGCGGACGCCGCGGCUCAUGGCGAACUCGACGAUGUGCUUAACGUUCUCGACGGUGUACCGCAUGUCCUCGCCGUAUGCGCCCUUCUCGGCGAGUUGCGGCUCGGAGGGCAGCUCGAUGGGGAACGACUGGGAGUCCGUGAUGUGCCAGUGGAACACGUUCAUCUUGUUGGCCGCCAUGGCGUCGAUGGUCCGCAGGAUGUCGGCCACGGGGAAGUAGGUCCUACCGGUGUCGAGCAUCAGCCCGCGGUGAGGGUACAGGGGCCGGUCCUCGACGUGCACGCCGGCGGCCAGCACCAGCAUGUCCCGGCCCCGGUCCCGGCCGUGGCCGGCCCGCCACGCCAGCUGCGAGAACGUCUCUAACCCGCGCAUGGCGCCCCACGCGGUGACCGCGGUGACCGUGGCGGCGCCGCCCGUGGCGGGGACCUCCAGCGUGUAGGACUCGUCCACGCCGUGCUGCAGCGGGGCGGCGAGGUCGGACACGGCCAGGGUCAGCCUCGCCAGCGCGCUCCCCGCGGUGACGUUGACCGCCGGCCGGACGACGGGCCGGUACCACUCCGUGACCAGCAGCUUGGCGUAGCGCUCCGCGGCGGAGGCGAGGUACGGGUUCCCGGACGGCGCGACGAUGCGGAACGACGGCGACAGCGGCACGGCCGCGUGCGGCUCCGCCCACGACAUGGACACCGGCUUGGGCCAGACAUUGACAGGGAACGACGCGUCAGCGGCCGCGCGCGUCAUCAGGAGCAUCGCCGGCCAGCCGAGCAAGAGCAGCAGCCGGAGGAGAAGCGUCGCCAUUAGAGCUCUGGAUCGAGCUGCUCCGCGCUGCAGAUUCUAAUUGGUGCACUCCUCGACGUCAAGGCUCUUUGCUAUAUUUAUAAGUGCGGGUGUUAUUGUUAUCUUAGGAGAUAAUUGCGCGAGCGGCAUAGUGGUCGCUGCUGCCUCCAAGUGGCUCCAUCUCCAUCAAGUGUUCUACUGUUCUUGGCGCUAGCGUUCGUCUGUUUAUGGGCGCUAACUUCUUUAAUUAAGAUCUUCGUCUCCGGUUGCGUUUCAGAUCUGAUGCUGGCUUUGGAGUUUACGCUUCUCCGGUUAACUUGCACGGCGGAGUUUUCAGGCCUAAACAACUCGCGUUCAGGCUCCAUUUGUACUCGUCCAAGCAGAGAUCGCGUUGAUUUGACGUGUUCGUCGCGUACCCACUUCGCUCUAGACUCUAGUCUCUAGAGGCGACGCUGGGGCAUAGCUGCAACGGCGGGAGUAGUUUACGAGGAAGCGGAUAGUGGAAGGCCUGCUGAAUUUUGUUUUUAUGGGCUGGGAACUGAGUAUGAUAACACGUUGGCUUCUGCUAGUGUCUUUGCUAGUAAAGUACUGGAACGGAGUUGUUUGUCAUCCAUUUGGACAAAGUGAGCUUGAUUAGGGCUGUUUAAUUUGGAAGGCGAAACAAGAAAAACAUACAGUAGGGAAUCACAUAAAUUGGAAGGUAGACUUCUUAUUUUUUUCAGGAUACUCUCUGUUUCUAUGCAAAACGUGUCAUUCCAGAGAAGUGAAAACACGAGGAGCUACAGAAAUAACAGGUCACCUUCCCUCCGACAGAACACUCAUAGAGGAUACACCAAUGCUAGUCUCUGACUGAUUAGAUGACAUGACAUACGAAUCAAACCCUUCGUUCUGCAUCAGCGACAUCAUGCUGUAGCUCGUAUAGCUCGGGGACAGUUCAGGGACCGGCUGGUUGGCGUCCAAGUACUGCACGACUCGUCGCAUGCCGGGUCUCACAUUCGGCAACGGGUGCGCGCACAUCAAGCCCAGCUUCAGCACGAGGGUCACCUCCUCCACCUCAUACUUCCCCACAAGCCGCGGAUCCACGGCGUCAAGGAUCGAUCCGUUGCGGUGAUGCUCGAUCACCCGAUCCACCAGCACGACCCUGUUGUUGCGGUCGUCGCGGUCGAUAGGCCUGCGCCCACAGGCGACCUCCAGGAGGAACACGCCGAAGGAGAACACGUCGGUUAACGGCGUCGCCUUCCCGGUGCGCACGAGCUCCGGCGCGAGGUACCCCAUGGUCCCGACCACAUGAGUGGUCUGAGGAUCGGCGCCAUGGUCGUAGAGCCUCGCCAGGCCGAAGUCACCGAGCCGGCCACUCAUCUCGUGGUCCAGCAGCACGUUGCUGGCCUUGAUGUCUCGAUGGAUCACGACCUGCUCCCAGUCCUCGUGUAGAUACAGUAGGCUUGCGGCGACACCCUUGAUUAUCUUGUACCUCUCGUGCCAGGAAAGAGUGGGCAUAUGCUGAUCGUGCAGGUACUUGUCAAGGCUACCAUUUGGCAUGUAGUCGUAGACCAAGAGGAGUUCGCCUUGGCGUCUGCAAUAGCCUAGCAGUUGAACAAGGUUCCGGUGUCGAAGGCGGCCGAUGCUCACAACCUCGGCAACGAACUCCCUCACUCCUUGCCUGGAAUCAUGUGACACUCUCUUUACUGCGAUAUCCAAACUGGAUCCUGGAAGCACUCCUUUGUAUACUCUUCCGAAUCCUCCGACGCCCAGCAAGUUCUUGUCCUUGAACCCGUUGGUGGCAUGAAACAGGUCCUUGUAUGAGAAGCGGUGCGGGCCGAACUCGUCCUCCCAAUCUUCCCGAACCUCGGCGUACCGGCGCCGCCUCCAUACUAUCAAGAAGACGGCUGCGAGCACUGCGGCCACGAGCAACGCAGUGGCGAGGGGAAGCAUGACAUCCAAGACCUUGGACCGUGGCUUCGGACCCACGCGUGGCAGGACGGGGAGCUUGGAGAAGUCGAGAGGUGGAGCUGGUCCGUCAAAGCUGAAGCUCCACCCGAGCACGUAGUGGCGUGUGAUGACGACUCCAGUGGCCGAGGAGAAGCCGACGUACAUCGUAUCCGCCAUGAACGUAGAGAGAUCGACGGGCACGGAGAUCAGAGGCUUCUUGGGCUUUUGCACUUGCACCGGAGCUAGCGUCACGUUGAGCUGCCCGGCCUGGCCGUCGUAGUCGAUCCAUACUUGCAUCGGCUUCCGGCUGUUCAGCUGCAAAUCUCUCCAGGCGCCGCCGGCCGCGUCGUCGUAGUAGCCGGCCGGCUGGGGCUGCUCUGAAAUCAGGCUGUUGACGUCGACGCCGACGUGGUUGCUGCUGAUGUCGCGGAUCUCGGGGUUCAUGAUGGUGUCGAGCUCGACCGCCAGGACGCGAUCGCUCGCCGUGCCGUUGAUCGCGCCGAGGAGGCCCAGGUACUGCCCCGCUUUGGCCGCGGAGAAGUUGGUGGUCGGGGCGACCACGAAGGCGAGGCCGUGGUCGCUGAGCCCGUCGUAGGCGGACACAAUGGCGAACACGAAGCACGUCGAGAAGGACCGCGCCCCCGCCGCGGUGGCGUUCGCCGCCGCCGUUGAGGAGGAUGACGCGUUGAGGAAGUGGACGGGGGCCGGGUGGAAGGCGUGUGCUUUCUCCUGGAACGUGGCGUUGGUGAGCGCGAGGAGGCCGCUGGGCGUCACGGCGGCGAGCCCGUCCAGCGUGAGGUUCGCCGAGGCGAAGCCUUGGUAAACAAACUGGCCAACGUCGGCGGACGACGAGGCGACAUGGAUCAGGAGGAUUGGAACGACGAAGGGUACGAUCUUGGCAAGCAUCUUGUUUUUUACUGGGACACUUCUCCUUGACACCCUCAAAGAGCUUUGCUUAGCCACAACUUCAGUCCUGAUAUGCUUGCAUUGGCAAAGUACACCUACAGUGUUUGACAUGUCGAGAUCCAGGGUUGGUUGGGUGUUGGACUGCUGGACUUGUGUCCUGGUAAAGAGUGGGUGAUGACUGAGUCUUGAGGAACAGGAGAGCUGAAAAGAAAAACUGAUUGAAAGAUACACCGAGAGGCACGCGCACGCGAUCUAUUGACAGGUACUGCAACUUCCACGCGUGGAUUCAUUGAUGUCAACGAAAGACCUGUCCGACGCGACAAUUCUGCCGUCAGGAACUUCAAAGAUGGCUGCUGUUCGAAGUGUCCUGCGAACCUAUCCUGGUAGAGUGGUGUUGCCGUGCCCAGCGGGUGAGCAAUCGUUGCGCGUGCUAAUAUCGAAAAGUAAUAGCGACGGCUAAAUGUUAAUUAUUUAUCCGUGAUAUAGGUAGUAUAUAUAAAUAAAUAGUAUAGGUAGUAGAAGGGUAUUAUGGUAAAAAACACAACUAGCAUCACUAUAAUUUUAUUUUGACACUAGCAUAAAGUUUACUAUUUGAAAUAUCAUUUUUUACAAUGUAAUAAUUAAUAAAUUAUUCAUAAUAAUGAACAGUUAGAUCUUAUAUAUACUAUAUGCUACUAAGUAGUAGUAUUGCGUAACGUAAAGGAGUCCAGUAAAGAAGCAGGUUUCAAUGAAACCAUUAGCGUUGCUGCCCGUCACCGGCAAGAAAACGAAAUCUGCGAUGUGCUAGUAGGCAGUAGCUGAACAUCUGGAUCGUUUCGGUCGUAUGUGUUCAGCUGACACUCUUCAAAAAAGAAGAAGUGUUCAGCUGACUGUUGUACCCUGCUGACUAAACGAUGCACUGCUUUGUCAAAUAGAACGACCAUUCCAGUCAGAAGUGUUUGUUGGAUGGACUGCCCGAAUUCUUUCACUGGUACUGGUAACACUCAAACACCUACUCUCCGGUUGACGUUUAUUAGGAUUCCAUUCGACCAUUCCAUGGACUGCUAGCUCUUCUGUCUCGUGACAGCGAAGCAUUUCGACUUCACACAGCAACCGCAGAAGGAUCCAUUCUCUCGCGGGUCAAUUCUGGAGUCCCGAUCGAUCUUGACACGGAUCACGUUUCUUUUUUGCUUUCUGAGCAUGCGCAUUUGACUGGUUUCAUGAACAGCUUCGUGUGAGUGUGAUAAGGCCACCCGAAAAUGCAUGAUUGUUCAUUGCUGUCAUCAUCUGCGAGGUGUACCUCAUCCUUGAAUCCUUUACACGAGUAUAUUACUAGUAUUUAAACGGUUUCUUUUGCAAAUAAAAAUCAACUGUGUUUAGACAAAAUAUCUCAACUACACGAAUGGUAUUGACCAGGUCAGCAUUUCAGGCAAACUACUACUGAGAUCCUUGACAAGAAAAUUUCCAGGUUCAUGCCAAUAAUCCUGCCAUUAAUAAUUGUUUUUGGAUUACGGCACCGCGUUUAGUACUAGUUUCUUUUGUUGUUUUCGUUAAGCAUAGAGAUGUCUCACUGAUCCGUGUCAAAGAUAAGAAGAAUACAGUACUACUGUAUGACAUAAGACGACCCCCCGCCCCCCCCCCCCCCCCCCCCCCUCCCCCUCUUAUUAGAGAAAACAGAUAAACGGUUACAGUCCCUAACUGCAAGAUCAUAUCACCUUCCUCCAGUGAAAUCAGAAACGGCACCUAUGCUCGUUGACGACACGCAUGACAUCAUAUUCUUGUUGAACUCCCUGCUGUACAUCCGCUCCAUUCCGGUGAAGCCGAAAUACUCCGGUGACAGGUCUGGAAGGACCAUAUCUCCGUCGAGGUACUGCAUGACCUGCCGCAUGGUUGGCCUUGCAUUGGGCAAUGGAUGCGAGCAAAGCAGCCCAAGUUUCAGUACCAGAGAUACCUCAUCAGGAUUAAAACCGUCUGGGAUCAUCGUGUCCGCCGCGUCGACCAUCAAUCCCCUACGCCAGUGCUCAGUUACCCAAUCCACGAGCACGGUGUGGUUGCCGUGCUCGUCUUGCUCAAUUGGCCUUCGUCCACAGGUGACCUCCAGAAGGAAUGCCCCGAAGGCAAAGACAUCGGUCGCCGGAGUCGCCUUGCCGGUAUGUCCUAAUUCAGGGGCUAGGUACCCCAUAGUCCCGACCACAUGUGUAGUAUGCGCAUCGGUUCCAUGAUCAUACAGCCUCGCAAGGCCGAAAUCUCCUAGUCGUCCAUUCAUUUCAGCAUCGAGAAGCACGUUGCUUGCCUUGACAUCUCGGUGGAUGACAACUUGCUCCCAAUCCUCAUGGAGGUACAAUAGCCCAGACGCCACUCCUCUGAUGAUGUGAAACCUUUGAGGCCAAUCCAAUAGUGCACCCUUGCUUCGAUCGUACAGGUACUUGUCAAGGCUACCGUUUGGCAUGUAAUCGUAGACCAAGAGAAGUUCACCUUUGCGCCGGCAGUAGCCGAGUAACUGAACAAGGUUGCGGUGCCGCAACCGUCCCAUGCUCGCAACCUCGGCGAUGAACUCCUUCAUGCCCUGCUUGGACUCGUGAGACACCUUCUUCACCGCGACCUCCGUGUUGGACUUGCGGAGAACGCCCUUGUAGACACUUCCGAACCCUCCUGCUCCGAGCAGCUGCUUGUCGCUGAACCCUUUGGUGGCAUGGAACAGGUCCUUGUACGAGAACCUGUGCGGCCCGAACGCGACCUCCCAGUCCUCGCGCACCUCGGCGUACUUGAUCCGCCGCCGCACCAAGGCGUAAAUCGCGACGCCCACGGCGAACACCAGCGCGGCGGACGCUAUGGGCAGCACAAUCUCCAAGACCUUGGACCGCGGCUUGUUCCCCGCCGGCGGCAAGGUAGGCAGCGCUGAGAUGUUCAGCGCCGGGGCCGGCCCGUCGAGCGCGAAGCUCCAGCCGAGCACGAAGUGGCGCGAGAAGAGGAUGCCCGUGGCCGAGGUGAACCCGACGUACGCCGUGUCCUGGACCACGUCGGAGAGGUUGACGGUGGUCUGCAGCAGCGGUUUCUUGGGCCUGGACAAGCCUACAGGGGCCAUGGUCACCGUGAUCUGCGUGGCGGCGCCGUCGUAGUCGACCCAGACCUGCAUGGCCUUCCGGCUGACCAGGCUCAGGUUCCGGAACUGCCCGGUGCCGUCGUCGUAGUACCCGGCGUCCGCCGCGGCGCGCGACACCAGGCUGUCGACAUCGACGCCGACGUGGUUGCUGUUGAUGUCGCCGAAGUCGGCGUUGAAGAGCGUGUCGAACUCCACGGCGAGGACGUGGGAGCUCCGGUUGCCGUUGUUGGUGGUGCUGAGCAGGCCCAGGAACUGGCCCGGCAGCGCGGCGGAUAGCAGCUCCUUGUCGGAGGCGACGAAGAACGCCAGGCCGUGGCUGCUCAGGUCGGCGUACGGGCCGUAGAUGGCGAACACGAAGGUGGUCGAGAAGGACCGGGCGGCGGUGGCGUUCCGGGCGCCCGGGUCCUGGAACGGCAGCGGGGACGGGUGGAACGCGUGACCCUUCAUCUGGAUGGUGCCGUUGGUGAGCAUCAGGAGGCCGUUCGGCGUCACGGAGGCCGCGCCGUCGAGGGUGAGGUUCGCGCCCUUGAAGCCGUUGUAGACGAACCGGCCGCCAUCGCCGCCGGCAGUGGCGUCCGCGCAGCGGCCAGCGGGCGCAAGGAGGAGGAGGAGGAGCAGUGCGGCCAGGUGGAAAGUCUGAAGCGGCAUUGCUCCGACGUCGCCGUUGGAUUUCUGAAUUGUAAACGGCAGGCGCCAGUUUUGGUGCGGCAGUAAUACGCAACCGUCAGCAUAAAGUUUUUGGAAGUGUCCGAUGGGAGGAAAAUUCAGGGAUCCUCGUGGCGCGUGAGGAACAUCACCUACCAAUUAAGUUGAAGAUUGCGGCGGACUCGGGACUGAAAUGCAUGGACGGGGCGAUUUAGCUGAUGGUGUUUCUGUCUGAACUCAGGGGAAGCAAUAUUUGAACAGGGAAAGGGGACAGAGAGGGGGGAACGGAGAGCGUUGACCCUUGUCGGAUCCAACACCACGAAGAGUGCCAUGUGCUAGAAUUGGCAACCCAGACGCGACUCGCGAGAGCAAUCAAGUUUGCGUGCCACAGCCUCUACGCGACUACGCAAUCUCUUCUCUUAGUCCCUGUUUACUGUCACAUCAAAUAUUUAAGUACUAAUUAGGAGUAUUAAAUAUAAAUUAAUUAUAAAACCAAUUGCAUAAAUGAAGACUAAUUCACGAGACGAAUCUAUUAAACCUAAUUAAUCCAUGAUUUGAUCAUGUGAUGCUACAAUAAAUAUGUGCUAAUCAUGGAUUAAUUACGCUUAUAGAUUCAUCUCGCGAAUUGGUAUCAACCAAUCGGGUCACAUCGGAUGUUUAUAUAUACCAAUUAGAAGGACUAAACGUGAACUAAUUAUGCAACUACAGCAAUUCACUGGCCACACUGCUCCUCCUCCUCGCAAGCAUGCUCAAAAUGAUGAUAUCUACUACAGCAAAGGUUCGACAAGGGCAGCAUUACUAGCAGCAGGGGGAGCUAUCAAGAUAUUUUCCUCUGCGAGCAUAUUAGAACUGUAUAAGUAAUUUGCUCCUUUGUAAAUAAGAUUCAUUAUGUUGCUCUAAAUAAUUAAAACUCAUCGGCGUGUACGCUUGUGGCUGAAGGGAUCCACAAAUAUGCUUUUGCACUUGUGAGACCACCGGGACAUCAUGCGGGAACAACCCAAGUGGCUUCUGCAUAUUUAACAAUAUUGCUAUUGCAGCUUCACACUUGUUGGAGAAAUACGUGAGUUUUGUGUGCUGUGUCCUGAAAGUAACUAGUCAAUGGUUAACUUUCCAAUUUCCAAGCCAUAAGAUGCCAAAGUAGAGAUAGGAUACAAACUGAAAUCUUUUUCUGAUUCUUUUUUUUAUACAUGUGUAGAAAAUGAGAAAAAUACUGAUAAUAUUGGUAUGUACAUGGUAAUGGUACACAGCAGAUCUUCUAUAAAGAUAAUUGUGUCUUACUCGUCUCCUUGCACAGGUACAAACUUGAACACUAUAGGCAGUGCUUGGGUAAAUUGUUAGGGUGUUUUAUAAGUUCUUUAUCUUACAGGCACGGACAAUUCUAUCCCUCAACUGACCUAGGAAGUCUUGGCCACAUUGGCGAGGGGAAUGGCAGGGGUUGUGUUGGACUCAUGAGGGUAUAAGAGAUGCAGAUUAUAUCUAUGAUUGGGACCAUAUUGUUUUACCCAUGACCGAUGAGUUUAGACCUGAUAUCAUUCUAAUCUCAGCUGGAUAUGAUGCAGGUGUGCUUUGGCUAGCCCCUUUGUUUCUCCUUUUCUACCUUAAUGAAAUGACACGCAGCUCUCUUGCAUUAUUCGAGGGAAAAAAACUGUCCACACACACAAAGAAACGUCACCUAAAAGCAAACCAUAUUUUUUCUACCUUGUCUUCCUCUCUCCCAACAUCAUAUGCUUAGGAGAGUAUUUCUAUUUCUACCCACAAGAAUACUGUGUAUUCUGUUUUGGCAGUUGAAGGUGAUCCUCUGGGUGAUUGUAAGAUGACUCCAGGUGGAUAUGCAACCUUGCUUGAUAAGGUAGUUUCUUGUAGUCUAUUUUUAUUCUCUUUUUAUUCUUACUCUUGUUCUUCUGACAUCCCUCUCUCUAUUUAGUUAAUUAGGUUUGUUCAUGUCGCCAUGGUCCUUGAGGGUGGCUACGGCUUGGAUCCGCUAGCCGAUUUUGUUUCUGCAUGUGUGAAGGUGCUCCUGGGUGAUAGGAGUGAUAUCAACUCUCAAAUAACAAGUUUACCAUUUGACACAACAGUGAAUAUGGUGACGGAGGUAUGCAUUUUUACAUCAUUAAAUAUAUAAAAUAGUAUCUAGAUUAGAAUUCAUAAAUUUCAUAAAAGAAUGCCAUGGCCUAUGGCCAAUAUUGUAGAUAAAAUUAUGACAGAACAUGCUAAACGAAAUUCUUUGAUGCAGGUCAAUUAAUAAGAUUGUUUAUGCUUUUAUGCAGCCCUUUACAUCACUUGCAUUGCUUUGCUUAGUAUGCCAGCAAAAUCAGUUGCUAACAACAUCCCAGCAGUAGUUACCAAAAUACUAGCAUAUACAGGGGUGGAUCUAGGGCCUGGGCUGGCGGGCUGGAGGUAUUGCAGUACGGGUCCAGCUCAUGUAUUCGCCUACUAUAUGUAUGCUGCUAUGCGGCUUGUUCAGUUGGUUCUUAACUCUCUCUUGCAUAUAGAGGAACAGACUGUGGGUUAGCCCGGGGUCUAUCCCAUUUCUGGGUCCGCCCUUAGGCAUAUAUGCUAUCACAAAGACUUCUAAGAUGCCCGUAAUCUCGUUUUAGGACUAGCAAUUAUGCAAUGCUUCUUAUCCUGGAAAUAAACACCAAAUAUGUGUAAAAUGCAUGAUGCUAACCGACAGAAUCCUAAAGUUUCAUGCCAGCAUAUUGUUAGAUGCAGAUGAAUGAUUCAGAGUUUUUGCCUUCUCGAUAUAAAUAAUGCAAAUACAUCAUUCUUUUUAUUUUAUUUUUUCAAUUGUUGUUUCCCGGAAAGGAAAGUUACUUUUUGUUAACUACACAUAUAUCUGUUCCAGGCUUAUAGGUUGCCGUUUAUCAUUGGUUAAAGAACUGUUUGGUGAACUUUUAACCCUACAAAGCCUUGUACUUUGAGAUGAUGUUUGCAGAAUAAGUAGCCCAGAGGAACAAAAAAACAAGAAAAUAUAAUACUUGUAAAUGUUGUGAUUGUAAAUCUAAAUGUUUGCUUUAUCAACAAAGAAAGCAGAGGCGGCUCUAGAGGGGGGCUGCUAGUUUGUGGAUUAGUGAUAAGAAUAUUCUGCUAGUACUUGUGGUUUUCAUUUUUAUUUAAUCACAAAAUAAAAAUAAAGUUUGUUUUUAUUUGUUUGCAGACUUGUCAAACACAUAAACCAUUUUGGAAGGCUUUCAAGAAGGAUAUCCCUGAAGAAAUUACAUCAAGGAGCAUACCAUUCACAAGAGACGUAGAGGUAAAUACGGCAGUUUGUAUAUUUCAGUUGAUGGGAAGGCGUGUCUAACUUUAUUGAUUAUGUUUGCAAUAUAAUAUACUUAAAAUUCAAAUUUUUUGGUUUACUACUAUAAAAUUUUGGAAUUGGCCAAAUAAAUUAUGCAAAAGGAACAUGGAUCAUAGAUCUACCUCCUGUAAUUCUUUAUAAUACCUUUUAGUUUUCGUGACACACAGGGUGGAAGAAAAGUCUGAUCUUUCAUCGGCCAAAAAACUGGAUGCGAUAAUUUGUAUAUAGGCUACUUCUUCCUUUCCCAGCAUUUGCUCCCUGGCUUAAGACAUGGAUAGUCGUUACAAUACUGGUGUAUAGGGUGUUUGUACUUCUUGCACCAAUGCAUUUCGGGUAACCGAGUUACAGGCUGUUAGGAUCAUUCCUACACAUGUGGUCAUGUGGAGUAUGUAGGCUCAAGAAACAGAAAGUGGAUUGGCCCUUGUUCCCGAAAACCUGGAUACUGUAAAGCAUCCAAGAAGAUUGUAAGGUUUUUUGUUGGGGUAAUAAUUGCUACCUGAGUUGAUUGCGGGGGUAAACCUGUUGACUUGUCCCGUGUUUGUUUCAACUCUUCCGUACCGAGUAGGCGAAUAUCGUGUUUGGUCUACCCACUGUCACCGCCUGUUUGCCCAUUUCACACCCGUCCCCAACUGUGACAGUGAGUAGGAACAGCUCACCCCCUCAGGCCUCCAUCUCCUGCAGUCCUGCCUAUGCCUAGGAAACAGUACCGAGACUAAGGGGGGUGUUUGGAUACCCUUGGGCUAAUCCGUCACAUCGGACGUUUGGAUGCUAAAUAGGAGUAUCAAAUAUAAGCUAAUGAUAAAGUAAUUGCAUAAAUGAGGGUUAAUUCACGAGAUGAAUCCAUUAAACCUAAUUAGCCCAUGAUUAGCACAUGUGAUGCUACAGUAAACGUGUGCAGUAAACGUGUGCUAAUCAUGGAUUAAUUAGGUUUGGUAGAUUCGUCUCCUGAAUUAGCCAUGACUUAUGCAAUUAGUUUUAUAAUUAGUUUAUAUUUAGUCCUCCUAAUUGGCAUCUAAACAUCCAAUGUGACCCGGACUAAACUUUAGCCAAGGAUCCAAAUACCCCCUUAGUAUCAAGUAUCAUGUGCUGGGAGGAUGGCGAACAAAUAAUUGAAGGUGUGUGGGUGUUCACAUAUGCAUCACCAUCCAUGUGGCUGCCAUCCAUGAAUGGUCCCAGCAAUGCUGCAUCCAAACUCGGGAAUGCUUCUGCAUUGUGGGGUGUAUUUGGUGAAUACAGAUACUACCUCUAUCUCUUUUUAUCUGACGUCUGGGAUUCCCAAGCGAUAGAUAAAAAGGGAUGGGAGGAGUAGAAUAUAAUCGUUGGUGAAGCCUGAAGAUGGGUCAGAUUUCAGAUCUAUCUUACAUCUGCUUCGCUAAUGUUAUGUCGUGCCUUUUUUUUCUUUCUUCUCGUAGCUUCGUUCGCCUUGAGGCGGCCAUUCUUCAUGGCCCACGUAACAUGAAACUCCAAAACCUUGAGGUGUUGAUUGUGCUCAGGUUUGCGACUUCUCCAAGAGGCCAAGACCCAGUAUAAUUGUAGGGCAAAUACGGUCGGUUUUUUUGUAGGAGCCAAAACCUGAGAUAGUGGAUAAACUGGGCCAAGUCGAAGCUGCAUGUCGCACGAUCAAGGACACAAAACCAAAAAUUUCAAGUGAUGCAUCAUUCCUCUCGAACCGGCAUUCCUCCUGACAGACAAAACAGGGUUCAGAAAAAAGGGCCAUCAAAUGAUCAAAGCCCAAAGCAGCUACACUACAUUCUCUGCACACCCUUGUGCCAGUGGCCAGUGCCACUAGCCCGAAGAGCUCCUUCGUUCCGUCGAGGCAAGCAAGAUCGCAGCAGGGAGGGAGGGCAGGACCUAGCAUCAUCAUCCGUGGACGGGCCCAGCAAAGCUGCAUCCUCUGCCGUAGGCUGUAGCCUUUGUCUGCGAGAAUUAUACACCGAUACACACAUGCGUACGCGCGCGCCACAGCGCCCACACGUUAUCCUGGCCGGGGAACGCCCGCGUCUACUCUACACGCCGCCAUGCCGGGGAGCGGUCACGGCAUGUUGCUGGAAUGAUUGGUCGCCCUGGGGCCUGGAAAGCAGCGUCCAUCGCGCCUGCCUCGUGUACGCCGCGGGCACAAGCGCCACCAUUCUGCUCCUGAAAGCGUCUCGAUCAUGGAGCAUGCGGCAUGCCUGCGGAAACCAAGCACGGAGUAGCAGUCCGUGCAGGUACCAUACCAUACCGGGAGAGAAGCACACAGGCUCGACUCGACAGCGAAUGACAAGUGCAUUCCCAUUGCUAAAGAAAGCCUAGGCGCGAUGCAGAAACCGGAGCAAGCUCUAGCUCGCUCUAGAGGCGGCGUGCACCGACGUGAUCCGAUGAGUGCGUGCAAGCUGCUGCGUGCGGCGGCUGCCGGCCGGCCGGGCGCCUGGGCGGGCUGAUCCGGCAUGGCAGCGGCGUCAGCCUGACGGAUGUCCAUGUCGCGGAAGCAGAGGUGCUUGAGUUUCUGCAGCUGGGAUGGAUUGGGUGAGUUUCAUCGCUCAACCGUUUUACUGGACAUGGGUCCUCCCUAACUAUGAUACCAAUCAUUUUACCUCCCCAACUAAAAUACCGACAAGUUUUGUGUGCAUAAAACAUACACGUCAGCCUAGCAUGUUAGGGAAAAUAAUAGUUUGUUUAUCGUAGGUUAUAAGUCAAAAUAUUCUUAUUUUGUUUUUCUACAAAACAAUUUUUAAUGGCUUCUGGUAUAAAAAAUUCUACUACAUUCAUGAAAUAAAUUUUCUUGGUUCAAAAUGCUUUUUAUUCAACCAGAACAUUAUUUUAUCUAAAAAUAUUUUUUCCAAUGGCUUGGAUAAUUUUGCUAUAUUCGUAGAACAUUUUUCUUGGUUCAGAACAAUAUUUUAUUUGUCAUCACAUCUUGAUUUCUACCUAGGAAUUUUUUUUGUUAUUGGUUUGUCGUGGGGUUGUUCCCGAUGGAUAAAACACACAAGCCCACCCCUAGGAGGUGACAAAAAACAAUCUAAAUUUGUGAAGGAUUGUGUGGGGUUUAAAUGGACAACACUUAAAUAUGAACUAAAAGAGUCAUGGUCUUUUGGAGGAAAAAGCCUAUUCCAGUAGUACAGUUCACUUCCACCACAUUGUACUAUUGAAAUGCUUAGGUCUUGAAUAUUGAAUCUUUCAAGCGACAUAUAGGGUGUUUUUUCUCAAUUAUCUCAAAUUAGAAAGACAGCCCCAUGGGCACUAUGACAAUUAAAAUGUCAUAAUACUUUUUAUGCUGCAGAGAAAACACAUAAAGCCAUAAAAGAAUACCAGCAAAAAAAGCCAUAAUAGAAAGGUGGAAAGUUUUUCUUUUUACAAACAAGCAUAAGCAGUACCUAUCUCACUCAACAAAGUAGAAAUUUACAAGCAGCCAGCCAAAAUGUAAAACACAGGAGCAUCAACAAAAUUGUCAAAAGGUCCUACGCCCCUGCAAGGAAUAUCGUUAAACGCCUUGCUCCUAUUAACACCAAGGUCUUGCUUCCUCCUGAAUCUUUUGCGUAGGGGAGGUACCCGUGCUUUCCUUCCGUUGAAAAUUGAAGCCCUAAUUGCAUUCUUUCACAUUGUUGACUUACUGGAUCACCUUCCCUCAAGAAGAAUAGUCACAGAGGAUGAGCCAAUGCUCGCUAUUGAUCGAUCAUCCAAGCUGACGUACGGAUCAAAUCCUUCAUUCCGCAUCAGUGACAGAUCAGGAGGAAUCGACUGACUAGAUUCCAUGUAUUGCAUGACCCUUCGCAUGCUAGGCCUUAUAUUGGGCAACGGGUGUGCGCAUAUCAAACCCAGUUUCAGCACUAGGAUUACCUCUUCCCUUUCAUACUUCCCCACGAGCCGUGGAUCCACGACGUCGAGGAUUGAGCCAUUGUCAUGAUGCUCGAUCACCCAAUCUACCAGCACGAUCCGACUGUUGCGGUCAUCGUGAUCGAUCGGCCUCCGUCCACAAGCGACCUCCAAGAGGAACACACCAAAUGCAAACACAUCGGUUAAGGGUGUUGCCUUCCCCGUGCGUAUGAGCUCUGGCGCAAGGUACCCUAUGGUCCCGGCAACGUGUGUGCUCUGAGGAUCGGUGCCAUGGUCAUACAGUUUGGCCAAGCCGAAGUCGCUGAGCUUACUGUCCAUCUCGCCAUCCAAGAGCACAUUGCUCGCUUUUACAUCUCGAUGGAUAACAACUUGCUCGCAGUACUCGUGUAGAUACAGGAGGCUUGCUGCAACGCCUUUGAUGAUCCUGUACCUCACAUUCCAAGAAAGUGCUGGCGAUUGCUGAUCAUGUAAGUGUCUAUCAAGACUGCCAUUUGCCAUGUAGUCGUACACCAAGAGAAGUUCACCUUCACGCCUGCAGUAGCCCAGUAACUGCACGAGGUUCCGGUGCCGGAUGCGGCCAAUGCUCACCACCUCAGCGACAAACUCUCUGAUUCCUUGUCUCGAAUCAUGUGACACCUUCUUCACCGCGAUCUCCAAAUUGGAUGGCGCAAGUAUCCCUUUGUAUACUCUCCCGAACCCUCCGACGCCAAGUAAGUUGCUAUCCUUGAAGCCAUCGGUGGCAUGGAACAAAUCUUUGUAUGAGAACCGGUGCGGGCCGAACUCAUCCUCCCAAUCUUCCCGCACCUCGGCAUACCGGCGCCUUCUCCGUAGGAUCAGGAAGACGGCUGCUACCACUGCAAUCACUAGCAAGGCGAUGGCGAGUGGCAGCGCGACAACGAACACCUUGGACCGAGGCUUCGGACCCACGGGCGGCAGGAACGGAAGCUUGGAGAAGUCCAGAGGAGAAGCUGGCCCGUCCAAGCAGAAGCUCCAUCCGAGCACGUAGUGGCUCGUCAACAUGAUAUUGGACGUCGACGAGAAGCCAAUGUACGCCGGAUCGGCGACGACCGUCGAAAGAUCAAUGUUCAUGGAGAGAAGAGGUCUCUUGGGCUUUGGCACUCGCCCCGGACCUAGGGUCACAUUGAGCUGCCUGGCCUGGCCGUCGUAGUCCACCCACACUUGCAUCGGCUCACGGCUGUUUAGCCUCAGUUCUUGAAAGGCGCCGCCGGCGCGGUCGUUGUAGUAGCCGGCUGAGCUGGCUUGCCGAGACACGAGGCUGUUGACGUCGACGCCGACGUGGUUGCUGUCGAUGUCGCCUAACUCGGGGUUCAUGAUGGUGUCGAGCUCGACGGCCAGGAAGUGGUCGCUCGCCGAGCCGUCGUUGAUCACGUUGAGGCCCAGGUACUGCGCGCCGCCGUUCGCCGCGGAGAGGGCGGUGGUCGGGGCGACCACGAAGGCGAGGCCUUGGUCGCUGAUCAGCCCGUCGUGGACCGGGGACACGAUGGCGAAGACGAAGCACGUCGAGAAGGACCGCGGCGCGGCGGUGCCGUUCGCCGCCGUGGCGGGCUUGCUGAUGAGCAGGUGCAGAGGCUCCGGGUGGAAGGCGUGCCCUUUCGCCUGGCGCGUGGCGUUGGUGAGCUCGAGGAGACCCCCGGGCGUCACGGCGGCGUGGCCGGCCAGAGUUAGGUUCGCCGCCGCGAAGCCGUGGUAAACAAACCGGCCGCCGUCGGCGGCGGCUGACGCGGCCACGUGAAGCAGGAGGAGCACAACGACGAAGGAUACGAGCUUGGAAAGCAUAGUUAGCUUUUGCGGGAAACUUGGCAUUGCAGCCGCAGAAUACAAACCCUUAGGAUGCGUCCGUCGGCUAAAUGAUUGCUUGGUCUGUGACUAUGCUGUGGAGCUUCUCGACGGUAGGCUGGGUGUUGAAUGUUUCGGCCGCGUGCAUUGACUUGUCGAUGUCCUGUAAACUUUUGUCCCGUGCGUUUAGCACCCUGAUUGACAGGGAAGGGUGCUCAUGCAGACCCGGCGUUUUGUAAGCCAGUAAUCUGGCAGAUGCAGGAUGGCUACUUCUCUGCUGUUCGCUCUGUCGCCGUGCCCUGCAGGGUACAAAAAAGGACGGGUGACUGACAUCAUUCACCUUUAUUUUGAUCGAUUGGUCAUUGAGCUUAGUCCAAAUUUGACAAAGUAUGCUUUACCUGUGCUUGUUUAUUUGUUGCUCGUUCGAGCCUGAUUGGAAUAUGGCAAAUUAGUCUCCUACUAGUAUAUAUCAGAUAAUGUGCAUGUCUCAAAUCGAUCUAGUCAGGUUGUGUAGUGGGUCAAUCCUAGAGUUGCAAUUGAUCUCGUCAUGAAUGCAUUUCUAAGCGUAUUCAGGGUCUGGACUUGACUGAUUCAGUGAGGCGUUUGUCAACUCAUGCACAGGUUACUUGUAAAAAAAAAGGGAAAAAAAAAACUAAUGCGCAGCUUACUCUUGACUUUGAUUCAAACAUUUUGUAUCUGUUCGUUUUGUUAUUGUUGCUUUUUUGUAAUCUAACUUAUCGAUAUGCCAUUUGGGGGUGGACAAUAUAUGGUAUAUCAGAAAUAGAAUUCAGUAUUUUCUUAGUACAACGCGAACAAGAUAAUUACUAAUUAAACAUCAAAUAUUCUGAUCGCAAGCACCACAUCACCUUCCUGGUGAGAAAUCAGAAACGGCACCCGAGCUCGCUGAUGACGUAGAUGACAUCAUAUUCUGGUUGAAAUCCGUGCCAUACAUCCGCCCCAGCAUGGUAAAAUUUAGGGAUGUUGAUGACAAGUUGGGAAGGGGCAUAUCACCAUCGAGAUACUGUAUGAUUUGCCGCAUGCUUGGCCUUGCGUUGGGGAAUGGGUGCGAGCACAUCAACCCUAGCUUAAGUACUAGAGCGAUCUCAUCAGGAUCAAAUCCACUCGGGAUCAUCGUGUCCGCCGCAUCAAUGAUCAAACCCCUGCGCCAAUGCUCAGCUACCCAAUCCACAAGCACGACGCAGUUCUUGUGCUCAUCUUCCCCGACCGGCCUUCGCCCGCAAGUGACUUCUAGAAGGAAUGCACCGAAGGAGAACACAUCAGCUGCUGGAGUUGCCUUGCCGGUGUGCCCUAAUUCAGGUGCUAGGUACCCCAUAGUACCAACCACAUGGGUUGUUUGGGGAUCGUCUCCAUGUCCAUACAACCUUGCGAGUCCGAAAUCUCCUAGUCGUCCAUUCAUCCCGCUGUCGAGGAGCACAUUGCUUGCCUUGACAUCUCGGUGAACCACAACUUUUUCCCAAUCCUCAUGGAGGUAUAGUAGUCCAGAUGCCACUCCUCUGAUGAUAUGAAAUCUCCGAGGCCAAUCCAGUGUACCCUUGCUCCGAUCGUACAAGUAUUUGUCUAGGCUACCAUUUGGCAUGUAAUCGUAGACCAAGAGAAGUUCACCUUUGCGCCGGCAGUAGCCAAGUAAUUGCACGAGGUUGCGGUGACGCAGUCGUCCAAUACUUGAAACCUCUGUGACCAAUUCCUUCAUGCCAUGCUUUGGCUCAUGAGACACCUUCUUCACCGCGACCUCCAUGCCGGACUUGUGGAGAGCGCCCUUGUACACACUUCCAAAACCUCCUUUCCCGAGCAGUCGCUUCUCGCUGAAUCCCUUGGUCGCAUGGAACAGUUCCUUGUAGGAGAACCGGUGCGUCCCCAACGCUGUCUCCCAGUCCUCGCGCACCUCGGUGUACUUGAUCCGCCGCCGCACCAGGGUGAAAAUCGAGACGCCCACGGCGAGCAACAGCGUCACCGACGCUAUGGGCAGCACGAUCUCCAACACCUUCGACCGUGGCUUGGACCCCGCCGGUGGCAAGCCAGGCAGCGCCGCGACGUUCAGCGGCGGGGCGGGUCCGUCCAGCGCGAAGCUCCAGCCGGCCACGAAGUGGCGUGAGAAGAGGACGCCCGUCGCCGACGUGAACCCCACGUACGCCGUGCCCCGCACCACACCGGAAAGGUCGACGGCGGUCUGCAGCAACGGCUUCUUCGGCCUGGGCACGCCCAGAGGGGCCAUGGUCACGGUGACCUGCGUGGCCUCGCCGUCGUAGUCCACCCAGACCUGUAUGGCCUUCCGGCUUACCAGGCUCAGGUUCCGGAACCGCCCCGUGCCAUCGUCGUAGUACCCGGCGUCAGCGGCAGCGAUCGACCUGAGGCUGUUAACGUCGAUCCCGACAUGGUUGCUGUUGAUGUCGUGGAAGUCGGCGUUGAGGAGCGUGUCGAACUCCACGGCGAAGAUGUGGGCGCUCCGGUUGCCGUUGUAGGUGGUGUUGAGCAGGCCCAGGAACUGGCCCGGCAACGCGGUGGAUAGCAGUUCCUUGUCGGGCGAGACGAAGAACGCCAGGCCGUGGCUGCUCAGGUCGGCGUACGGGCCGUAGAUGGCGAACACGAAGGUGGUCGAGAAGGACCGCGGCUUCUGGGCGGCGCCGUCGAACGGCAGGGGGUCCGUGUGGAAGGCGUGGCCCUUCAUCUGGAUGGUGCCGUUGGUGAGCAUGAGGAGGCCGUUCGGCGUCACCGCGGCCGAGCCAUCGAGGGACAUGCUCGCGCCCGCGAAGCCAUUGUAGACGAACUGGUGGCCGUCGCUGCCGCCGCCGGUGGCCGCGGCCCCGCGGUGAGCGGGCACGAGGAGAAGGACCAGAGCGGCGCAGAGCUGAAGGAGCAUGGCUUUUGCGUCACGGGUGGCGCAGGCGCAGGCGCGCAGCCAAUGAUACGUCCCCUUUUUUUCCCUCCUUUGAAACUGAAAGGCAGCUUUCUUAGCCUUGAAUCGCUGGUCACCUGAAUUGGAUUGUAUAAUUGCAGGCAGAAAAUCCACAGUAUAUUUAUGUGGGUCACAGAUGCUUUCAUCGUAAGCCUUUUUAAGUGAUUUUAGGGAGGAAAAAGUUCUGGGGUACUCGUGGGCUCGUGGCACGUCGCCACCUAACAAAUUAUACAGUCCUUCAAGGUCAGCCUUGUAGUGCCCUUCUUCAUGGAGCUCAUCACCAUUCUUGCUUGGAGCAUGUGGAUUGUUACAAAUGAUGCAAUCUUCAACAACACAAUUGCAGAUCGAAAUUCAAGCAUGAAUUCGCAAUGCUUAUGUAUCAUGCGAAAAAGAGCUACUUCAUUCGCAUCAGUAACUUGCUAGUCUCUCUAGAUUAAACUUUAGCUCUUUUUUGUUGUUUUUCUCUUUUCUUGUUUUCUGCUCUCUUUUUGGUUUCUUUGUCCUGCAUCAUAAAUCCAGUAGGGAGCUCCUGCUCUUGUUUUUUGAAAGAAGAAAAAAAACGUCGCCACCUACCAAGCUGCUGAUCGAGCAUGCUGAACUGCUGACUGGAAGCAUCAAUGGUUGAGUUUCUAGCUAUUUUUACUCCACAGUGAGAAGGAGAAAGUCAGGUAGACCGGAAAAUUAGGCGGCUCAUUGCCAGAACUGCAGUCAAACUUCAAAGGAGCUUGGAAUUUAAUUUUUUUAAUUGGCGUGCAAAUAUAUGAUUUCGAUAGCUUAUCUCUGCCUGUUCGAACAUGCUUCCAUAACUGGAUGCGGUUGAUUGAGCUCAUGCGGCUCUGUAGCCUGUCCAGUCAAAAAUUUGUUAAGAAUGUCGUUUUGCACGAGGAUUUAGCCAAAACUUCAAAAACUUUAGUAUAUCAACACAUGUGAAACUAUAACAAAUAUAUGUAGAGAUUUUUCUCAAAAAGCAUUAAUCGAAUGGGUUUUAGGUAUUAAAUCACAUACUCCCAAACAUGAAAAACUUUGCAAACAGCAAGCAGAACUGCUAAUGGGCCGAGGAAGUUUACCUUAUGGGCCGACGUGUGGAUGCUUCUCUAAAAAAAUAAAGCCCAGCCCACGUGGGAUGUGCAAAUGGGGCUAAAAAAUGGACAUAUUCGUUGUUAAGCACUUUCACACAUGCAAUGUACUUAAAGUAUAUUUGACACAAACAUAGGGACACUUUUAGUGUUCUACUUCCUCUGUUCCGAAUUGUAGAUGGUUUUGACUUUUCUAGAUGUAUAGUUUUUCUAUAGGGUAUGUUUAGAUGCAUAAUAAUAUCUAUGAACCUAAAAAAACUACAUACAAUUUGGAACGGAGGGAGUAGUUUUUAAAUAAUUAUUGGUUAAAAUACAAAUAGUAAAUUUCAAAAUUAUCAAGUAUUUGUGGACGGAGGUUAGUAGUUCACGAACUGGAUUUUGCAGCUUGUAUAAUUUUUCGCACCCCUAUUGCUUCACAUGACAACUAUAGCAAGCAAACAUUGACUUAUCCGCCCCGGUUAAUUGAUGACCGAUCGAUAAACUUGUCAAACUCACCUUUAAACUUUCACAUUUCAAUAUUUAUACAAGUAACAGCAGGCCAAAACAAAAAUCGAAUACCAAGGAACAUAUACGAAUACCAAUCUCCACACUAUACACAUUACAUGUACGUAUGAACAGCGCCUUCUCUACCCCCCCCCCCCCCCCCCCCCCCCCGGCAUGUCCUGACCGUCUGAUUGACAUGCAGCAUACGGUGACGGUGUUUAACGAUCAACGAGGCUCGUGGCAUGUGCGCCUCACCGGGCCUCCCUCUCGUCGUUCCUCCAGUUGCCAUGCAUCUUGGGCCCCGUCGGCCCAUCGCCGACGAACACCUUCUCCACCAGCUUGGCCAGCCGCUCCCUCACCGAGCGCGGCAGGAUCCACGCCACGCGGUUGAUCACACGCCCGAUGACGUACUCCUCCUUCGGACCCCACCCGCGCUCGAACCCGAGCCACGCCGGCUCCGCGACGCCGAGGUACUCCGCCGACACCACCUCGCGCCGCCCGGCGCCGCCGGUGUCCAGCCUGCUCCCCCUGGCGGUGUCGUUCCGGAUCCCGACGCCCAGCCUCGAGUCGCCCUGCAGCACCAGCCCCGCCUUGGGGUACAACGCGUGCCCGUGCCGCGACGCGUACGCCACCGGCCUGUUCCCGCCGUCCCCCGCGUCGAGGUACUCCAGCUGCGACGCCUCCACCCACGUUCCCGCGCUGUGCUGCGAGAAGUACAUCCGGCGGAGCUCGCCGGAGAAGUUGCUCACGCGCAGCGUCACGUGCUCCCAGUCGCCGACGUGCUCGCCGAUCUCGCCCAGCGGGAUCGUGAGCAGGCCGACCUUGGCGCGCGCCGGCCCGUUGAACGGGUAGAAGAUCCACACGGCGAGGUCGGUCACCGUCCCGCCCAGCAUCGGCUUCGCCUGCACGUACACCUUCGCGCUGGCGAGGUCGCCCUUCUUGACCUUCUCCCUCUGCUUGUUGUCUGCCGGCAGGUCGAGCCAGUACCCGCCGUCGUUGCCGCCGCCUUGCGGGAGGUUCGACCCGUCGGCGGCCACCGGCGUCGGGGUCUGGCUUCCCUUCUGGUACAGCAGCGCGCCGUUCUUGAAGAACCAUGUCGCCGACGAAGGGAAGUAGGAUUCGUUCGGGUGCAGGUACACGUGCGGCGCAUGGGCCGCGAGGAGGGAGUUCACCUGAGCCAGGUCAGGCAUGGCGGACGUGUAACUCGCACUGUUGUUCUUCAGGCAUGCCAGCGACGAGGCGUUCGCCGGUGUCGCGCUGCUCUGAGCUAGGAACGUGCCGGCGCGCACUCCUCGGGCGUCGAUGCCACGGACCGCCGGCCUCAGAGUGGCCGCGCUGAAGCCGUCCUUGUCGCUGCUGCUCAGCUCCGGCUUCUCGGUCUCGCACGCGUCGGUGAAGUCGGCGCGGACGCACCGGACCUCGUCGGGCGAAGGCUUGUCAGACGUGGCCGUGACCACCGCGCCGACCGCCUUGUAACCAUCAGGAGCCGUGGGGAGCCAGAAAUGGCCGGCGCCGUCCGGGCUGGACCAGACGAGGUUGUAGUUCACGGGCGCGGCAAGGAGUGCUCCGGUGCCGGACGUGUCCCGAGCGACGAGCACGUGACCGAAGAGAGGCCGGCUGUUGGGCUGCGCGUAGUGGCCGAGCACGGAGAAGCCGGCAGGGACCGGCGAGGGCUUGAAGAAGGUGGCGCCGACGCCGUCCUCUCCACCUUGCGUGGUGGACCAGACCUUAGCGAACGUGGUGAUUUGGCGCACUUCUAGGCCUCCAAGGUCUAUGCUGCCCUUCGCAAAUCCUCCAUCUGAAACUGAAACAGCAGCGGUGAGCUAAAAAUGUGUUCAGAGCAGACAAGAUAAAGCUACCUCUACCUAAAUUCGAGGUGAUUUCAGGCAAGCUGCCUCUAUACAAAGCUUAAAGAUAACAUUUGACGUGUGUGUGCUUUUGCCGUCUAAAUUUCUACAGUAACCGUCCUUUAAACGAGAGGCCACAGAAACUGCCAACGUGUGGAAGCAAAAACGCCCCCAGCAGCUAGGACAAAUUUUAGUUUCUACUGAUGGUCUCUUUGGACAAACAUGUUGGUAGUAGCAGAACUAAACUGAAUUCUACCAGGAAAUCAACGAGCUUAUGAAGACGAUGUACCUGAGGCUGGCCAAGAUGAUAGCGCAACCGGAGGAACGAAGUGCUUCUCAAUGGGCAGCGCCGCCGUCCCCAUGGGCACGCAAGGCAAGCACGACUUGCUCCUUUGCAUAGCUCCGGCAAAAGGUCCGACUGAGAAGAAGGCAAGCAGCAGGCAGCUCGCCGAUGGCUUGUUUGGCGACGGCUUCACUACUGCUCGUGCCUUUAAUGCGUCUUCCUCCGCCUCACGGCCCGUCCAUAUAUAAUGUACUGUAUGUUCCUGACGACACGGAUCUAAUCCACAUUAUCGCUUAACUUCCCACGAGAUACACAAGUACCCUCUGCUCGUAGAGGCUCUACUGUUUAGAGUGUUCCGUGUCGGCUUGGACUUGUGUGGUGUCCGUGUGUUAGUUAGAGACCCAGCGGCCGGCAUGAACGGACAGGGUCGUCGCUUGUGGUAGUGUUGCAUGCUUCCGCGCUGUAUAGUUGGAGGAAAACGUGCGACAAGGCGAGAGGACAGCGACGACGCGCUGCAGGCUGCGUCGCGUAGUGGUUAGGUCAGGGAAGGCCAGGCAUAUACAGCAGCCUGUUUUGGCUUCGUCUUUGUAUCCUAGUUGUACUCUCGUCUUUUCUUCCUGCACUCUUUUUUCUAAUAUAAUACAGAAUCAGUAGGGAUGCAAAUCCCUCCUGUUUCAUUAAAAAAAAGGGACCCUACCAAAUUAGAGAAACGAAUAGAACAGCUGAAAGAUUCCGGUGACGAUGCAGAGCAAGAAAGAUUAUUCGCAAGUGUGCCUUGCAACUUGCAGGGCUCCCUUAUCCUCCCAGUGGGACUAUGGAAGUCUUCAGACCCAUCGAACGAGAGUAUACGCAGUUGUUACUUCACGGGAAGAGGAGCAGAAUUGAACUUGCAAAGAAUAUGCGAUAAUGCAAAGGAAAUAUCCUUUUUUCUUUAGCUGCUGGAAGUCACAUCAGUUUGGAGUAUUGGAGUGUUCCAGCACAAAAUUUUCGUUGUUGCACUUGCACAACAGGCGACUUUCAAUUUUUGUUUCUUUUCAUAUACCGUGGGGUAAUCAUUUAGACGAGCAAAUAUUGUUUUCCCUGUUGCAUGUACAAACGGUACAGAGAUGAGAGUAUAGCUUAUCUGUCCAAUCACGUGACGUAUGACCCCAUGCAUGGUGUAAUCCUAAUCCAAUAGAGUAUUGAUACAUCUUGCAUUAAAGGAAAAGCGUAUGAUUAUGGAAGUAAACAUCUUGAGGACGACGUAAGUGCAUAGAAAAAACUAUAUAUAUAUAUAUUAUAUCUAAAAACUAAAAAAUAACUAAUAUUUUAGAACGUAAGGAAUACAAUACAAUUGCAUAUUGAACAUUAUCAGCAGAAGAAUGCAGUAGACUGAUGAGGAGCCCAAGACAAGGCCUAUGCGGCCAUGGGCUCUCUCGAGAAAGGAGAUAGAUCUAGGGCUGAUGCUGCUCUCGGCCCAAGCGAGGUCCGCGAGACGUAGACAAGCACGAGCAUGGGCCCGUGACCUGAGGCUCAGGCCCACGAAACGCCGACACGUCAGCUUGCCUGUGCUCUCUUGAGGACGCGGUUAUACAUCGCCCAGAGGCGACAAAUUUGCGUGGGUGACCUUCUAACCGUCCGCGCAAAGGGAUUAAUGGGCCAGCACAUUUUUCAAUGGUUCAGAUACAAUAAUUAGCGCGUCCGUCCGUUGACUGUGAAUGAAGGGGUAUUCACCUAUGAGAGACAACUACACGGAAAGAAAAAAAGAUUCUGGAUGCAUGCAAAUAAAGAGAGUAACGAUGACAUCAUCCAUAUACAUGCAGUUUUGAAAUUUAAAAAGUCAUAAAUUAUAAACUGAGCAUCCAAAUUAAAUUCCGAUUGCACCGCUGUGUUUCUUAGAUCUUUAAAACAAGAUCACACUCGACUAUGUUUGGAUGAUUUUAUAACAAAAAUAUUUUUAAAAAAUAUGAAAUGUUAAAUUUGAUUACAACGAACAAAUACUUGAAUAACCAGAAGAAAUAAUUGCCUCAUACGAACAAAAAAAUAACAGGGUGAACAAAUGAUUAUAAGCAGCGAAUGAAAUACUAAACAUCACGAAGAUUGCAUGAUGCAAAUAAAAUAGACGUAUAGUAAACAAAAGAUUGAAAAUUUGAUUGUGUAAGAUAAGAUAGUAGAAUAUGAACAUCAAUUUAGAACAUUCUUUUAAAAUACGUACCACUAGAAUAAAUUAUACGAACUCAAAUGUUAUACUAAUCGAACACGUUAUAUAACUCAUGGAACAAAAAUAAAUACACCCGGAACAAAUUAUAUGAACUCACAGAACAAAAUAGUAGUACACAUCGAACAUAUUAUAUGAACUCACAGACAAAAGAUCUACAUACCUCGAACAAAUUUUCAAAACUCAUAGAACAAGUAUUUAUACACUUAGAACAAAUUAUAUGAACUCAUUGAAUAAAAAUUUAUACACUUGGAACAAAUACAUUUGGAUAUAUAACGGUAUUUUAAUCCACGAGUCUACAUGGUUGACCAGUUUAAUCAUAAAAAGGAAUAAAUGAGCCAGUGUCGCGAAUGAAUGAGUCUAUUGAAUACAUAAUUUUACACUCCAAACUAAUAAAUCUAUGUAGAACAACUAAAUGUACUAAGUAAUAAUCUUGAAUGUACUUUUUUUUACUGAGAAAAAUAUAUAGUGUUAUAAAAAAAUACAAGAGAAGAGUAAAAAGAGAAAAGAAAAAUGAAUCAAAUAAGGAAAAAAUAUAGAUUACAUGAAGAAAUAUAUAGAAGAGAAUCUGAAUUAAAAUAUAAAAAGUAAUUAAUUAAUAAUAAAAAGGAAAAGAAAUCAAAAGGGAAAAAAGAACGAGGAAAUGAAAAUAAGAUCGAAGAUAAAAAAUAAGAUAAAAUAAAAGAAACGAAAAUUGAAGUAAAAGAAAAAAAGAAAAAAUAGUCAUAAUAAGAUAUAUGAGCUUGCGAAAUAAAUUAUAAUAUAAAUGAGACGACUAAAAGAAUAAAAAAGAGUGAAAAGGAAAAGCUUCAGUAAGAAAAAGGAAAAAAAAGAAGAAAAUAUGUUAACCGGAGAAGAGAAAUAGAUAGCGAAAGGAAAAAAAAUGAAUGAAAGAAAACACAGUGAUGAAACAAAUAACGAACAGAACAAAGGAAAAAAAACACUAAAGAAAAAGAAACCAGAAGCACCUCUCCGUCCACAUGCCACUGCCAGCUCGCAGAAAAAAAAAAACAAAA